GAGCAACUUACUUACACUCCUAUCCUCAGUGUCAUGAAUUCUAUGCUCUGCUACCCAGAUCCCUAUUUUGGGACUGAAAUUUUUUUCUCCCAGCAGCUGAAAGGCUGUCGAGCAACUGAUCUCAGCUGCUAGUCCUUUCCUAGGUUUAUACUCAUCUAAAGAGAGCUGCCUUGCCGAAGUCUACACCCUUCUUCAGAGGUGGACGACCAAAGAAGAAUGAGCCAAAAAUGUCUGGUAGGUCACUUUGCAUUCUAAAACUCACAUGUUUCAUACCAGGGAGUAAUAUAAUAUGAUCCACAUAUAGGGUGAUUAAAUACUACCAACACUGGAUAGAGCCCAAAGCAUGGAAAAUCCAGGCUAAUGUGCAAAUGUCUCUUGGGUCAGAUGACUGUGUUAUUAGAUCUAUCUGUAGGGCAAAAGGAUGCUAUGUGACAUUUCUGGAAAGCACCAAAGGGAAAAUCACAAUACACUCCCAAUAUUUUGGAGCAACGCUAUGCCAUCUUCAGGAGAAUAUUAUAUACCAACUAAAAAAGAAGCUGAAACAUGAUUCACAGAUGUGUUGGCUCAGGAUGGUCCUCACUGCAGAUAGUUUUGAAAGAUAAGAGGGAGGAGAAAUCCUCAGAAGAGUUUUGGGUGGUGCAUCAGCUAUUUGCCAGUGUAGAAAGGGAAGUGUCCUUUGGUAAGAAUGUAUAGCAACUCAUGUGCGGUGGUGAGAAGCUAAGACAUUUGAUCAGGGACAAGAUGGAAUACUUGGGAAAAGCAGGUCAAAGAACCUAUGUGGACACAAGUUUCAAUAUUGUUGUUAUUGUGUGCUAAUGCCCAUCAGAGAGCAUCCAGUAAGGAAGCAUUACUAAAUAACACAGAAUUACCUGGACAGAUGAUAUGUGCCAGCCUGCCUUUAGCCACCCCAGUGCUGACACAUGAGGACGAUUGGGAAGCCCUAGUGACAAUAAUGGAGGCUGACAAAAGGGUCCCGACACGAGCCCAACAAAAGGGGGUCCUGCUCAUUAAGCCCAAUUUAUCUGCUUCUGAUGAAUGUCCAGUGUGCCAGCAACAGGUUGACUGUUGGCUUCCAAUAGAGGACCAUCCCUCAAGGAGGAGAACCAGAUAGUUGGCCCUGACUACAGUGUACCUCUUCCACUCUGAGAUGGCAAUUUAUACUCACAGGAAUUGUCAUAUUCUCAACAUGGGCUCCCUUUCCCUGCCAGCAGGGCUUUAGUGAGCACCAUGAUGCAAGGUCUUGAAAAAUUUUUGACUCAACAGUCAUGAACCCAUAUGACGUCAGACCGAAGGACCCACUUUGUAAUGGGAAAGUCAUGGAAUGGAUGUAUGGUUCCUAACACGUAGUGCACUACCCAGAAGCAGCUGACCUAAUAGAGUGAUAGAAUAGCCUAAUGAAUGUGUGGCUAACACACAAGAAGCAUGCUCCUCCAGACUAAGGAUACUCAUUAAAUUAGUGACCAUAGUAUGGUGCUGUGUCCUCCAACAGGUAAAGUUCUUAAGUCUUGGAAUCUACACAUGGAUGAAGUAGCCUCCUAUACCAUCACUCCCAGUAACCCACUUGUGGGUUUUUUUUUCCCUGAAACUCUGAGCUCUGUGUAUAUUAGAAGUCCUGAUUCCCAAAGAGAAAAUGCUGCCACAGAAAAGGUCACAGCAAUGAUAUCAAACUAUAGCUAGAAACCAGAGAGUGUAGACUUUGCUUGCUAAAAAAAGAACAAAUAAUAAGAAUCAUCAUCUUCACAGGGUGAGGCUGGGGGAGACAACUGGCCCUGAUAAUCAUGAGGAGGUGUGGCUACUGUUGCAUACUCUGGGUAGGGAGGGUACCUUUAGCAUCCAUGGGAUCCACUUUGGCAUCCUUAGGACUCACUUGUCCAAGUGUGAUGGUAAAUGGACAAAUGAAGAAACUGCAGCCUGAAAAAGCCUUGGAAACCAGAAAUGUAGACUCUUUAGGGAUGAAUAUCUGUGUAGUCUCACCUGAUAAGAUGCCUAGACCAAGAGAGGUUGUAGAAGGGUGAGAAGAAUCUAGAGUGAACAGUGGAGAAGGGAGAUAAUAAGCAUCAGUUGCAGCCUUGUAAACAGCUAUAGUAACAUAGGAUAUUGUUUAUUCCAUUAACCUUCCUCUUGUCAGUUUCUCCCAGGAAAAGAAAUCCAGCAGAAUCCUGAAGGUAUAAAUUGUAGACCUUAUAUGAAGCAAGUGAAUCCUAGCAAAGCAAUGCUACUCCGUAGCAACUGGAUUCCUUUUAAGGCUAAACGAUUAAAUUCCCUAGCUCCUGAGAAGGUUGCCAACUGAAAGAUUUCAGCUGUGAGCUCUCUCCAAGAAUAACCCUCAGCUGCAAAGAGACUCUUUACUUGCUUGAGGUCCUAUCACUUCUUGCAAGGGCAGCCAACAUCCAAUGACUAUUCAAUGCAAUGACAGAAGGACUCAAACCCUUGUGCCAACUGAAGAUACCUCUGCAUGGUCCUUCCAGCUUUGGAAGUCCCCUGGUGUCAACUGAGGCUAUGCUACCACCUAACUUCUUUUGUCCCUUCAAUACAGUUAAGGGCCCUAAGAGCAUUCCUUAAUACACUUCCUAUUUGGCAUGGAAUUGGUUUCAUACCAAUCAGAGACAGUAAUAUCUGACACUCAAUACACAUUUGUAAAUGUGGAUGAUCACAUUUAUAUCUAGUUUGUGAAGGUUGUAUAACUUCAUGGUUAUAAAGUAGCACACCCAGCCCUCAAUAAAAAUUAUUCCCCCUCUCUGCUUUGUUUUGUUAUUGAAUACAACUAAACUGACACAAAAGUCAUGUUAGCAGUUUUCCAUGCUAACCAGACCUUUUCCAAAGGUAGAAGAGUAGAAAAAUCUUGGCACUAUGGAAUCCCAUCUAAGGGCUCCUUUGGGACCUCAUUCAUGAAGUUUCUUUUUAAUAGACUUAUUUGAGCUUGCUCAGCCGACUUAAACUAUUUAGUCCAAUUAUUAUGAGAUUUACCUUCUUUUUCUUUGUCCUUUCUUACUAAGACUUUAUUAUUGUUAUUUAUAUUUGUAGUCUGAAUUACAUGGAUGCAAUUCUUCAUAUAUGUAAAGUAACAUAUUUUUUAAAAAAAUGAAAUUACUUUUUUUCCCCCACAAAGCAACUCCUGGGAAAAGGAUACAAACCCAAAACACAAUGUGAACUUGGUUUUUGCUUGAUUAAAAUUGAGGUGUUGAUAUCUGAAAGUAUAAAAGUUAUUCUGAUUUCCUUUGGUUUAUUAUCAGAUUAUAUUUAUAAUAUAAAUGGUUCUGAAUAUAUUUAACGCCAAUGUAUUAUUUAAAAUAUUAGUAACAUAACAAUAAGGGUUACUUUAUGAUACAUUUUAAAUUCGUCAUGCACUUUUGACUGCACCCUCUCUGUGAAAGCAAUUUGGUUCCUUUGAAAAUAAAUUUUCUAAGAAAUUUCCUGUGCACUUAGGAAGGUCAGCUCAAGCUAAAGGUCAGUAUUUGGGGGUUUUAGUCCAAAUGUUCCUAACCCCACUUGCUAUAAUAUGUUCCAACCCAAGAUUGAGGUCAACACACAGUUUAUAAAAAUAGCAAGAGAUAUUCAAUUUUCCACUUGAUAGAUGAAAAAAUACAUCAAGUUGAGGAAUAAGUCAUAGUCUAUUAUGGAGAAGCCAGAUUAAUUUCUUCAAAUAAAUCAAGAAGUUGUUGCCAGAAAUUUAAAACAAAACAAAACAAACACAAACAAAAAAAACACACACACACAAAGAAGGACACAGGAUGACAGCAUAAUAAUGUGGAAAAGAAUACAGGAUAUGAAGCAUAGAAGGCUUGGCUUUAAGCAUGUCUGCUCUGUGCUAUGCUAACUUUGCUCUUAAUAAAUCUUUUAAUUCAAGACACCCCUAUUAAAACCUAAAAUUAUGCUACUGUGUCAAAAAACUAGCUCUCUGCUCAUGAGCCAAUCACUGAAAUAUUCCUUAGCUAUAAAAUUAAAAAAAUUAAUAAAUACUUCUAGCCCAGUGUUUUAGAAAUCUAAUAUUUAUGUUUUUUUUAACUUACAAGUUUGACUGAAAGAUUAGAUAAGUAAUGAAUGUAGAGUGAUUUAUAUUAUACUUAUGUUAACUAACUUGAAUUUAGAUAAAGAAAUUAAAAAGUUUUUUGAUAAACAUAUAGACUGUUCUUCCUUCUACAAAUAAACAGAAUUAAAUAUAGCAGUAAAAGCACAGUAAUUCAACUGUAUACAAAAUAGCUGCUAUAUAAAAUAUCAAUUAGUGUUCUUAAAAACAAUACAUGGUAAUAUAAAAUGUAACUGCCAUAUAAGAAACAAAAAUUUAAAAAGUUAAAUAGAUCAUACUUAUAGUGUCUUUGCUAUAAGAACAAAGGGGGCACUUGUUCACAGGAAGUUGACUCCAACAAAACAAAACAAAACAAAACAAAACAAAACAAAACCUUCCCUGUACUUGGAGGGAAAGUCCACUUGAAAGAAAUAAGCCUCAGAGACUCUUCCCAGUAAUUUCAAUACUGAGAGUAGAGUCACUUCAAAAUUUUGAAGCUAGCAAGGUUCUAGCUUCUAGAAACUCACUACGUGCCCUAUUUGUUUUGUUCAUCUUGUUCAUUGCAAUCUAAAAUGAAUGAUUAAAAAAAACCCACUUGGGGGUCACGUGGGUGGAUCAGUUGGUUAUGCAUUCCCUACUCAUGCUUUAGGCUCAAGUCAUGAUCUCCUAGUUCUUAAAUUUGAACCAGCCUGCCUGGGAUUCUCUCUCUCCCUCUCUCUCCGACCCUCCCCUGCUUGCUGUCUCCUCUCUCUCUCUAAUAAACAUUAAAAAUUAAAAAAAAAAACACUUAUAUGCCGUUUUAUAAGGUCAACUUUGCCUCAUGGAGACUGUCCUUAAAGAUAGAGGUUUUCCCCACUUUCUCCAUCUCAUACAUAUUCCUCAGAAACCCCUAUGCAAGUUUUUUAAUAAGAAUCCCAAACUUCUCAGUAACCAUUUAAAAACUGGUGUAGUUUCAUUUAUUUUCUUAAUAGCUAAUAUGAAUCUCAGAUUUAUUUGAGAAUGCUCACCAAAACUGAUUUACACUAACAAAUUUUUCUCAAGGAAAAGACUCCAAGUGAAGAAAGUAGGAAUUCAGAUCAGCGAUUUUAUAAUUGCUUAUGACUUGCAGCUUCCCAUAAUUUUUAUCAAUAUUGUUGGUCACCAUUGUCUUUUGAUGGACUUUGCUUGCAUCCUGUUCUGUUUUCCUCUAUAAAGAGACAAAGAGAAUUGGUAAAUCCAUAUGUGGAUGUUGUUAGUGACUUCCUUGUAGGAGUAAGUAUCUCAAAAGAGAAAAAGAUAAGGGCAGAUUUAACCUCAAAACAAUGUCUGAUGAUGACGUGGUGGAAUCUCUCACUCUCCUCAUUUUCUGCCAUCCCAGCAGCCAGGCAGGCAAUUGCUAAAGGCUGACCAGGUUUUCAAAAGAAGAAACGAGCAGGAUUCAAAUUAAAAGGACAUAAUUCUACUGUCACAACACCCAGAUGGAAUGCUUUGCUGAGUGUCAAAUUUAUUGAUGACCCAAUCUUAAUAACAUUUUCUUCUCUUAUUCUUCUAAAUUCAGAAGAAGUUUAGCUUUAGAAGGAAGGCAAUAUAUGUCCAUGAAAAAUGAAUUAUAAUAAAGUGAACACAUAUUUUCAAAUGUUAAGUCUUAAACCUAAUAAAUUAAAAAUGUCUUCUGUCCAAUAUUAGUUGAUGAUUUUUUAGCAACCUAAGAUGGCAAGGUUUAUAUCUCUUAAUUUCCUGUAACUUGUCAUCUUUUUUAUAAUUUUCAAAAUCCUACACCCUAGAAAUGUCAGAAAUCAAUCAUGUAAAUAAUUUCUCCUGAUUAUGAAAUAUUAUCCCUGCAGAAGUUGUGAGGGCUCCAGAGGUGUUACAUUCUGAAUAAUAUACAAUAGAGAUGAAUCAUCUUUCAUAACUGUAAAUAAUUUCAGCAUCACUUGUAAUACAGGGGAAAUAAAGAUACAGAGUUUUAUCUCUAUCAGUAUUCUCCAUAAUAUUAAUCCUUUAGAGUUUCAAGUCUAGCAGGAGACAAAGACGGAGGUUCACAAAAUGCAUCAAAUUCAAAACUCCCAUAUCAAGUUAGGAGUAACCAAAAGCAACUCUUGCUAGAGUGACUUAGAUGGAGACACAGGGACUGGCCUCUGAAGGAAAGGUGGUAAAGAAAUAAUGGCAUUCCCUUGGGGAUAGCAGAAAAUAAAUCCUCCUUUAUAAUUUAUAAUAAAUUCUGGCUCUCAAGUGGGUUUGGGCUAGGAUUCAUAAUUCACCUCCACCAAAAACAAAAAACAAAAACAAAACAAUGAAAGUUCAGAAUUCAAUUUAAAAUUGUUCUAGGUUGGUAAUGCAAAGCAUAGUGCCUGUAACACAAGAAGGCAAAUAUUCUAGACUAGAGAAAUCCAUUUUAAAUUAUGCUUUGUAAACAUGAGUUUAAAAUAAAAUCGUGAAGCCUAUGUAGAAACAAAUCAACACAAGUGAGAAAAGGAAAAAAAAAGAAACCACACACUGCAAGACUGCACAUUGGAAUAAAUGAGUAAAAAUAUGAAAUAUUUUUAGAAUGCUUAAGGAAAUAAAAGUGGGUAAUCAAAGAACAAUAAUGAGAUAAGAAACUGUAAAACUGCCUGUGUAUAUUCAAAACUAAAAGGAAAUAACUUUGAAAACCUCCAAAAUACAAUAAUAUGAUUAUUGACAAAAGGAAAUUUAUGGACAAAUUAAGCAGUAGUUUAGGUAUAGCUAAAAAAUAAAUGGGAGAAGUAGAAGAUACACUUCUGAAGAAGAUAACAGGACGCAACAUAGAAAGAUGAUGUGAAAAUAGGGACGAGGGCACAAACAGGCAUGACAAAUAGAGAAAGAAAAUCUAAUAGAAAUAGAGGACAUAUUUUCAAGAGAUAAUGCCUUAGAAUGUUAGAAAGUUGGAGGAAAAAAUCCCCCGCUAAUUGUUGGUUCCAGGAAGACUAAAAACCCCAAAUGAGAUAAAUAGAAAGAAAUCAGUACUCAGAGACAUUACAGGGGAUGUAAAACACAAAACACCAGGGAGAUUCCCUGUAAUAAAUCAAAGGAAAGCAGCGUACCAACACAGAAUGAUAUUUAGGCAGACAGCUCAAUCUCAACAAGAAAAGUGAACUAUUAAAAUAGCCGCAUAACAUCUUCAGUUGCUUAAAUAAAAAUAAUGGUCAGGUUAAUAUACACACCUAAACGAGUGAUCUUUCAGUAUCAAGGGGAACUUAAAAAUAUUUUAAUAUAAGGCCAAAACACUUUUUUUUAUUUUUUUUUUAAUACUUAUUUAGUUUUUGAGACAGAGAGAGACAGAGCAUGAACGGGGGAGGGUCAGAGAGAGAGGGAGACACAGAAUCUGAAGCAGGCUCCAUCCAGGCUCUGAGCUGUCGGCACAGAGCCCGACGCAGGGCUCGAACUCAUGGACCGUGAGAUCAUGACCGAGCCGAAGUCGGACGCUCAACCGACUGAGCCACCCAGGCGCCCCAAGGCCAAAAUAUUUCUAAGAGGAACUUAUAAAUGACAGAUUUCAGAAAGAAGGAAAGAUGAGCUAGUAUGAAAUGUGGCAAAAAAAAUAAGGAAUAAUUGGUCAAGAAAGUGAUCAACAUGUGUGUAAAUCUAAACAGACACUGACUGUACCAAAUAAUGAUGAGAAUGGAAUAGCUGUAUUUAUACCAUAUGAUAUAACCUUUGAGAAUUAUUAGAAAUAGGAGGGGAACUCAUCAUUGCUAUUCUAAGGUUUUUGUUGUUGUUGUUGUUUUUAAAGUAAUCUCUACACCCAACAUGGGGCAUGAACUCACAACCCAGAAAUCAAGAGUCAUAUUCUCUACUGACUGGGCCACCCAGGCACCCCAGGAGGGUAAUUAAUUGGCAGUCACAUUAUCAGGAACAUAUAGCAAAUUGGAAAUUUCAUGCACUUAAUGGCAUAACUCCAAAAUGAGAAAAAAAAUCACCACCAAAAGGGGAGACUUUAAUAAAUAGCUUACAGUAACUGCAGACCAACUACAUAAAAAUUUGUCAAUAAAGAAAUGGAUUUUUUGAGGAACAUUUGUGGGAAUACGAAGCACUGUGUCCCCAAAUUGGAGAAUACACAGUCCUUUCAUGUACCUAUUAAGAAGCAAAAACAAGGGGCAUCUGGGUGGCUCAGUCGGUUAAGACUCCGACUCUUGAUUUCGGCUCAGGUCAUGAUUCCAGGAUCGUGGGAUCAAGCUCCACAUCAGGCUCCAAACUGAGUAUGGAGUCUGUUUGAGAUUCUCUCUCUCUUCCUCUUUCUCUUCCCUCACUUGCAUGCACUCGCUCUCUCUCUCAAAAUAAAUAACACAAUUUAAAAAAAUAAAAUAAAAAUUAAAAAAAUCGCAAAAACAAGAAGGAGGUCAUACCAUUCACACAUUGGUAAUGCCAAAUAAUUAGUUUCAUACAAGAAAUAUCUGCUGACAAAAAUGAAAUGAAGCAAAAAUAAAAUUAAAUACCAAAAAUAUAAAAAUAAAAACCACAAGAGUUUUACCAAAAGUGCAAAUUUAAUCUCAUUGGUAAAAGAAAAAAAAAUACCGGAAAUUCAAAAAUAUCAAAUUAGGGGUGCCUGAGUAGCUCACUUGGUUAAGCAUCCGACUUCAGCUCAGGUCAUGAUCUUGCCGUUCAUGAGUUCAAGCCCCACAUUGGGCUCUGUGCAGGCAGCUCAGAGCCUGGAGCCUGCUUCAGAUUCUGUGUCUCCCUCUUGCACUCUGUCUCUCUCUCUCUCUCUGUCUUCAAAAAUAAAUAAACAUUAAAAAUAUUUAAAUUCAAAAAUACCAAAUUAAUUAUUCCUUGAGUUGAAUAACAUUACAAUGCUACUACAAAAUCAAUGAGUUAAAUGUCUAAGUUUUAAAAAGUAAGCAAGAGUGGGGCGCCUGGGUGGCGCAGUCAGUUAAGCGUCCGACUUCAGCCAGGUCACGAUCUCGCGGUCCGUGAGUUCGAGCCCCGCGUCAGGCUCUGGGCUGAUGGCUCAGAGCCUGGAGACUGCUUCAAAUUCUGUGUCUCCCUCUCUCUCUGCCCCUCCCCUGUUCAUGCUCUGUCUCUCUCUGUCCCAAAAAUAAAUAAACGUUGGAAAAAAAAAAAAAAAGUAAGCAAGAACAGGAAAAAAAAUAACCUCACAUGAAAGGAGAGGAAAUAAUUAAUAAAAAUAAACCAAAAAUUAAUGAUAUUAAAACAUAUCUAGACAAUGAAUGAUACCCUAAAUUAGCUUGUUGAGGAGCAUAAUAAAACUGACAAAAUUACUUGGCGAGACUGAUCCCAGCUGAGAGAGAGAGAGAGAAAUGAAACCAAUAAAAUCAAAAUGAAUUACACACAAAGCAGGGUGGAUUAACAAGUAACUGCAUAUUUGGACAAUAUCAUAGCAAUAAAUGCUAACAAUUGUGUGAAGUGGGUAAAUUGUAGAAAAAAAUGUAAAAGCAGCUAAAAAUUUCAAAAGAAACUUAACAAAAGGAUAAUUUCAACAACCCUUUCCCAAUUAAAAUAUGUAGUAGCUUGUUAGAUAUUUUCGCACAAAGGAAGGCAUCAGGCCAAGGCAGAUGGCCCACCCAACGUUUAUGAACCAGGUGAUUGUAAUCUUACAAAAACUUUUCCAGACAAUCAAAAAGAGGAAAAGUAGUUUAUGCCUCAUAUACCAUGAUAACAAACCCAGAAAAUUAUGAUCUGAGAAAGAAAAGUAUAGGUUUAUACUCCUCCUCAACAGAAAGGCAAAAAUCCAAAACAAAUAUUAAAAAAAAAACCCACAAAAAACUCAAUUCCAGCAAAAUACAAAUUGUGUUUACCUAGAAAUGCAAAGGUAGUUCCGUUUCAGAAAAGCCACUUAUAUAAUUUGCUACGUUACCUAGCCAAUGCAAGAUAUGGGCAUGAUAUGAGGUGCGAGGAGGCGGGACGGGCAUCAGCAUUUGGGGUGUUGCUCCACCUAAGGCCACAGAUGCCCACGCGUGGCUCUCUCCUGCAGCCACUGUCUCCUGGGUUUCUGUUAGCAGUUCACUCCCCUUGUUCCCUCCCUUCAGGCCCGGGCUGAGGAACAACUUCCUGAAGGUUCUUGGACCCUGGCCAUUUGUCCUUCUCUUUUCUCUACCUACAGCUUACGAAGUAUUUGUUGCGGUGCUUAGGUGGCUCAGUCGGUUGAGCAUCAGACAUUGGCUCAGGUCAUGAUCUCAUAGUCCGUGAGUUCGAGCCCCACAUCGGGCUCUGUGCUGACAGCAUGGAGCCUGGAGCUUUUUCAGAUUCUGUGUCUCCCUCUCUCUCUGCCCUUCCCCUGCUCUCUCUCUCAAAAAUAGAAAACAAACACUAAAAAAAAAUUAAAAAGUAUUUGUUUAUUAAGUUAAUAAUAUUAAGUUACUGUUCAUUAUAUUAUUUUUCAGUUACUAUUAUUGAAUGAUAACAUCUGCUUCCUGCUGCUACUUUGACAUAACUGUUUUCAAAAACUGUUUGGCAUUAUUCAAAAAAAUUAAGAUGAUUAUUCCCAUAGAUGUCCCAAUUCAUUCCUGGGUAUCAUCUGGGCACAUUAGUACCAUGGAUAGGUUACAUGUGUGCCUGAGGACUUCUCCACUUCAGCCCUCGAGGGGCAAGGGCAGGGCUGGCAGAGGGCAGCUACAUCCCAUGCACUAGUCAUCUCCUCCUGUGAGCAGAUCCAACUGUUUAUUCCAUUAUAAGAGAUGAAUAUGAGUGUUUUAUUACGUGGACAAUUUGAGGAAUUUCUUCCUUAGAGAACCCUUUCACAUGUGGCAACAGGAGAUUGAUACAGGAAUGUUCACCGCAGCCUUAUUCAUAAUGGCAACAAAUUUCAAAUAACAUGAAUGAAUGUCAUAUAAUCUGAUACGUUACAGCAAUAAUAAUGAACGAUAUAGAGAAUGGGCCUAUGUAGCAUGUUACAUGAACCAAUGUGGAUCAAUCUUUAGUCAUGUUGAGCAAAAAAAAAAAAAAAAAAAGAUGUAAAAAUAAAAUAUAUACAGUGAUUCCAUAGUUAUACAAUUCAAACACAGGUAAUACUCACCAAUGUUUUGUUAAAAUACACAUAAAAGUGGAGACGUUAUAAAGAAAGGCCAAGGAAUAAUGGGUACACAGUUCAGGAAGAGGACAGUGAUUACCACUAGGUCAAAACAGAAAUAUCUAGCAGAAGCGGAGAGAUGACCUUGGGUUAUUGUACUGUUCUAGAUUUUAAGCUGGGCGGUGGGUGCAUGUGUGUUCAUUUUAUUCCUUACCUCAGCAUUAGUUUGAAGACUCUUGUUUUCAUACGUUCACCUUACUUUAAAGCAUAUGUGUGUUUUGAAAAUAAAAACAUUCUACUAAGAUCUGCAUGGAUGCUACCUUUGAGGUAUUCAGUAUAUGUAGCUUAGAAAUAAAAAUAAUAAUAUAGAUAAUUUUUAUAGAUACUUUGUUUUGAGCAAAAAUAACCCUAGAGGGACAUAAAAUUCUGGACAAAGUACUAAAAUCAUACACUGGUUCAUGUUUUAUCCUUUGCACCUUCUAGUACCAUUCACAAUAUAAUUGGCAUAAUUAAUGAACAGUGUGAUAGGAGAAGCAGUUCCAGCAGUAAAAGGAAAUUGUUUCGUGCACUCCUGAAAGCUGUGUAAAGGUACUGCUUGCAGAAAGGAGAGGAGAGGAUGAUUGACCUCUGGCCUUACCUAAUGUUUGCACUUGAUUGCUUUAUAAAAACUAUGCCCUUGAGAAAGGCUUAAGGUAGUCAUAAAAUGGUAACCAAGGCCAAGGAAUUCUAAAAUUAAAACAUAAUCCAUUCCAGAAGGAUAAUUAUAUUAGUGACAAACCACAGCUGUAUAAAUCAGUACUGGAAGUGGCUUCCAAAGACUGAUUAAAAGAAAUCCUGCCCACAAGGACAUUCUACUGCUUCGAAACAGUACUGGCAGAGGUUUCUUAUCUCUGCCAUUGAAGAUAACAAUUUGCUUCAUCUUAAGGUGAGGAAGUGCUCAUCUAGCCAAUAUUUGUUCCUUGGAGAGGGGGGACUUGGAAAUACAUACACAGAAAGACAAUGGCAGUAACAGGAUGGAUGGGCAGGAAGGAAGGAAGGAAGGAAGGAAGGAAGGAAGGAAGGAAGGAAGGAAGGAAGGAAGGAAGGAAAUUAUGCACUCAUCUAGGUUGUUAAACUUCAACUGAUACAUGUUUUCUGAGGUAAAAUUGAAUCAUUGACUCCCUCUUUCCCCAAUCUUAUGGAACUUCAAUGUUUAAGAAUCCAUUAUUAUCAAUGAAUAUCAUUCUUAUCAAUGCUUCUUUCUUUUGAAAAAUAAUGGCUCCUGUUAUUGCCAUUCUUUUAUCUUGUGUCUCUUUGUCAUAGGACUUAACAACUUAUUUAACCUCUCUUUUAAAAGAAUUUUAUGGUGGAAAGAACUGGAAAUCCUUCCAUCACUCUCAAAUACAACUUGUGGGCAGACCGAAAGGAAUGCAAAGGGAGAUACUAUUAUAAAGAUAUACGUUACAUGUGAUUCAAUGAAUAUUUAAAGGUACUCAGACAAGCUAAGUGUCUGUAGACGUAUAAAUGGAUAAAGAAAAUGUGCUACAUCAGUUGACCCUUGAACAAGUGGGGGUUGGGGCACUGGCCCCCACACAAUGAAAAAUCUGAAUGUGACUUUUUACCCCUAAAAACCUUAACUAUUAAUAGCCUACUAUAGACCAGAAGCCUUACCAAUAACAUAGUCAAUGUGUUUUGUAUGUUAUACGAACUAUAUACUGUACUCUUACAAUAAGUAAGCUAGAGAAAAAAAUAUUAAGAAAAUCAUAAAGAGGAGAAAAUAUGGUUACUGAACUACACCUGAGUAGGGGCACCUGGGCAACUCAGUCAGCUGAGCAUCUGACUCUUGAUUUCGGCUCAGGUCAUGAUCUCAGGGUUCAUGGGUUUGAGCCCCACAUAGGGCUCCUUACACUGACAGUGGAAGGCCAGCUUGGGAUCCUCUCGCUCUCUUUCCCUCUUUCUCUACCUCUCUCCGGCUCAUGAGCUCCCUGUCUCUCUCUCUCUCUCUCUCUCUCUUUCUCAAAAUAAAUAAAUAAGCUUCAGGAAAAAACACCUGAAUGUAAGUUGCACUGCACUACCACGUGCACUGUUUAAAAUCAGGUGGUUCAAGGGCCAACUAUAAAUAUGAUCGAAUAUUAUUCAGCCUUAAAAAAAAUAAGGAAAUCUUGUCAUUUGCAACAAUAUGGAUGGACUUUGGGGACAUUAUGCUAGGUGAAAUAAGCCAGACAGAGAAAGACAAACACCACAUGGUACCACUUAAAUGUGGAAUCUUGAAAAAACAAAAAACAAAAAACAAACAAACAAAAAAACCAAUCAAACAAACCAACAAACAAACUCAUAGAAAAGUGACUAUCAGGGGCUGGGGAAAGUAAGAGGCUGGUAAAAGGAUACAAACUUUCAGUUAAAAGAUAAGGUCUGAAGAUAUUAUAACAUAGUGACUAUAGUUGAUAACACUGCAGUAUAUAAUUAAAAUUAGCCAAGAGAGUAGAACUUAAAAAUUCUCACCAAUCAAUUAAUCUGUAGGUGAUGGAUAUAUUAAUUAAUUCAAUGAGGGCAAGUCUUUCACAACGUAUACAUAUAUGAAAUCAUAACAUUGUAUACUUUAAAUACCUUACAAAUUUAUUUGUCAAUUUUACAUCAUUAUUUAAAGAAAAAUAAAAUAAACAACAACAGCAAAAAUAGAAAUUCUCAGGGUGGUAAGAAAUCAGGUAUGUCCUGGGACAUAUACACUAACUAAGAGUUAAUGGAUCUUAAUUCUAAGUACUCUACUUCACAUGCAACUCAAUUUCUUUCCAUGUUUGUUAACUGAUUCUAAUGACCAAUGGACUCUCUCUGCAACCCAAUUCCAAAAUUUUAGGAGAAAAUUCUGACUGAUUCGGUGUGAUCAUAGGAAUAUGGGGCCAUUCACACCUACCUGAGCUCUGGAUAUUUGAAUCUAUACGUGGAAGGAAAUUUAUCAACAUAGUAGGGGGAGAACUCACGGAAUUGGAAACCCACGGCAAGAUUUUGGGUUAGUACUAAACAAUGACCUUAGAGCAUACAGCCCUGCUCAGAAAAUGUGUUUCUCUCACUCACAUAUUAGAAUUAUGUACUCAAUGUACAUUUAUUACUUCCUGCCUUCGGUGGAAGGAAUUGGAGUAAGAAGUUUUCAUUUAUGUUCUAAAUCAUACUUUCCCAUUUACUUGAUAUCUAGAUACUGGGCUCCAUUGAUGGAAGGGUGAUAUUGUUUCUUUCUGUCAUUCUAAUACUCAGGAGGCAUGAGACUCCCUUAUGUAAUUUUAGGAUAUAAAAGGCAUUUUUACUUUAAUUUUUUUUAAGUUUAUUUAUUUAUUUUGAGACAGAGAGAAUGCAUGAGUGCAUGAGUUGGGGAGGGGCAGAGAGAGAAGGAGAGGGAGAAUCCCAAGCAAGCUCUGUGCUGUCAGUGCAGAUCCUGACAUGUGGCUCGAACUCACAAACCAUGAGAUCAUGACCUGAGCUGAAGUCGAGAGUUGGCUGCUUAACAGACUGAUCCACCUAGGCACCUCUACAUGAUGCGCUUUUAAAAUUAUAAAGCAAGGGGAGCCUGGGUGGCUCAGUUGGUUAAGCUACCAACUUUGGCUCUGGUCAUGAUCUCACAGUUUGUGAGUUUGAGCAUUGGGCUCUGUGUGGACAGCUCGGAGCCUGGAGCCUCCUUUGAAUUCCAUGUCUCCUUCUCUCUCUGCCCCUUCUCUACUCGUGUUCUGUCUCCAUCUCUCUCUCUCUCUGUCUCUCUCAAAAAUAAAUAAACAUUAAAAAAAGUAAAUACAUACAAUUGUAAAGUAAUAUUCAAGGUUAGGAGUUACUAUCAUUCAUAACAGGUGCUACAGAAAAUACAGAAUAUAUUCUUUAAAAUAUAGAAAUCAAACUCUCUGACCUUUAGGAAGUCAUCAAGUUGGAAUGACUAGGUGUUUAGACCCCUAUCCAGUGUGAUCCUAUUAAACCAUGCUUCUUCAUGAUAAUUUAAAAAUUAAUAAAAUAAUUGAAUGGGACUUGAUAUAUGAUAUGUAGUAAAGGAAGUAUGACUUUUAAAAAAAGUCUUAAAUCACCUUCUAAUUAAAUUAUGUAUUUAUUCAACGCUGACAAGUGCCUUAAAUAAGACUUUUAAGGCUAACACAAAAGAUAAAGCAGUUGAAUGACAGGUACCUAAGGAUUGUGAGUUUUUAUUGCGCUCAAGUAAUAUUUUCAGGUUUUACUAAUAGUUCUAAACAAUUAUAAGCCAUUUUGUAUACGAUAUGAAUAUAUUAAGCGUAUCUAAUGAUUUAAUGACAAUAGUUUUUAUGGAGGGUUCAUAAUUUAUGGUGAGCAGACAUAAAAAUUGAUAUCAAUCAUUUAGGUUUUCUAAAACUCUAAUACAUAUGGACACAAUUGUGAGGCAUAUGCAUCUCAUCUUAGCAGAAAACUGAACAUGAAAAAUGAUAUCCAGAAAACUGGUUUUUCAAUGGCUCAAAAAUUAAAUACAAAGUAUCUCCUCAUUACUUAGAAAGUUGUUAAGAACAAAAUAAAGGAAAAAGGAGACACACAGUAGGAACACAUAGUAAACCAGUAAAAUCAGUUAAGUCAAUCUGCAGCAUGUUUUCAGUUAAACAGCUUUUGAAAAAAUAAAAAUUUAACCAAAGAUAAAUUGCAAAAGCAGCUGGCUAUUUACUGUUUGAUUUUACAUAGUUGUGUCCACCUCUGUGUCAGGUGUUGUACUUGAUGGAAUGCAAAAAUGACAAACUUUGUGCAUUCUUCUGAGAUAGUUGGACAAAAGGGGGGGUUGAGAGUUGGAGCUAGUUGUAAUCUUUUGCUAAGAAGUCGAAGGAUUCAGUUUAUUGUUGUAACCUUAUUUACUUUCUAGGACCUUCAUGACCAUGUUACAUAGAAAUGGGAAGAUGAAAGAGACCAUCUUUCAUUGUUCCUUCUUUCAGGGAGACAACAUUCAGUCUUGAACUGCUAACUACUUAUCUCUUAGUCAUUCCCUUUUAUUCCUUUGGGUUUAUAGUGAAUGGAUUAAAUUUCAUUCAAUGCUUUAUCUCUCAGUGAAAUAAUGCAAUGAUUUUAUGUUGAUACGUAUGUUUAUACGGUGAGUUACACUCAUUGAUUUUUGAUUGCUAAAUCAACUUGCAUUCUUGGGAUAAACCCUACUGGUUUAUGAUAUAUUAUCCUUUUAUAUCACUGGAUUCAAUUUGCUGAUGUUAAGGAUUUUUCUGCUAUGUUCAUAAGGGAAUUGAUUUCAUUUUUUGUUUUUUGUUUUUUGGAACUUUCUUUUCUAGUUUUGUAGGAGAGUAAUAUUGGCCUUUUAGGGUGGCUUGCAAAGUGUUUGUACAACUUCUGUUUUGUGAAAGACAUUGUGCAAAAUCAGUGUUCAUUUGAAAACUUUCUGAAAAAGUGUGGGGCUAGAUUUUUCUGUAUGGGGAGGUUUUAAACGAAGAAUAUAACUGUUUCAAUAGACUUAGAAUUAUUCAGGUUAUCUAUUAAUUCUUAAGUGAGCUUUGGUAGUUUGCAUUUAUCUUGCAAAGAACCAAAGAUAUUUUCAUGUAAGUUAUCAAAUUUAGUAGCAUAAGGUUGUUUUCCUAAUAUUGCUUUACUUUCUUUUUUUGUUUGUUUAUGUAUGAGAAAGAGACAGAACGGCAGCUGGAGAGGGGCAGGAAGAGGGAGGAGACACAGAAUCUGAGCUGUCAGCAUAGAUCCUGAUGUAGGGCUCAAACCCAUGAACCGUGAGCUCCUGACCUGAGCUGAAGUCAGACACUUAACCAACUGAGCCACCCAGGCACCCCUGCCUUACUGUCUUUUAAUGUCGACUUGAUCUGUAGUAGUUUGUUCUCUCUCGUUCCUAUGUGUCUUCUCCCCUUCAUUCAUGAUUAAUCUUGCUGGAACUUUAUACUUUUAUUGAUCCUUCUGAGGAACCAGGUCUGAUUUUAUUGACAUUAACUAUUUUUUUUGUUUAAAAUUUUAUUGAUAUCUAUAUUUACUACUAUCAUUUUCCUUACUACUGCUUGUUUCAGGUUUAAUUUGUUCUUCCCUUUAUAAUUUCUUUAAAAAAUGUGUAUGUAUGUGUACAUACAGGGCUCCAUCUCAUGAACUGCGAGAUCAUGACCUAAGCCAAAAUCAAGAGUUGGAUGCUUAACUGAGUUAGCCAUCCAGGACCUCCCUUUUUAAUGUCUUAACAUGAAAGAUUAAAUCAUUUAUUUGAGCCCUUUCCUUUUUCCUAACAUACAUAUUUAAUGGUAUAAAUUUCUCACUAAGCACUCUGAGGCCCACACAUUUUGAUGUUAUAGUUAAGUUUAAUUUCAAAUAUUUUCUAAUUUCCUUUCUGAUUUCUUUUCAACCAACAGGUUAUUUAGAAGUGGGAUAAUUCUAAAUAUUGGUUAUAUUUCAGAAAUUUUUCUGUUACUAAUUUCUAGUUUAGUUCCAUUUGGUCUGAGAUCAUACUUUGUGUGACAUUUAAUUAUUUUAAGUUUAUUAAAAUCUAGUCUAUAGAGCAGGAUGUGGUCUAUUUGGGGGAAUAUUCCAUGUGUGUUUUCUAUUUUUGGCUGAGUUGACUGAUAGUGUUGUUUCCAUAUUCUUUUUAUUCAUUGACUUUUUUCCUCCACUUUUUCUAUCAAUAACCAAGAAAGAACUGUAAAAGUCUUCAACUCUACUUGUGAAUUUGCCUAUUUCUCCUUUCAGUCAUUCCAGAGUUUUUAAAUGUUGCAUUUUUGAAGAUCUUGUAUUAUAUGUAUAAAUACUUAAGAUUAUUCAAUCUUCUUAAUAAAUUGACACUUUUCUACUUACAUAAUGCCCACCUUUCUUCUUGUAAAGUAUAUUUGCUCUAAGAUCUACUUCUUAAAUAUAAAUAUGGCCAUUGCCACUGUCUUGUGGUUAAGAUUGGCACUGUUUAUUUUCCCGCCCUUUAGUUUUCAUCUGUAGAUGCUUUCAUAUUAAAAUUAGUUUAUCAUAGACAGAAUAUACUUUCAUCUUACCUUUCUAUCCCAUUGGACAAUUACUAGCGCUCAGGUAUUGUGUUAGACUAUUUGUACUCAUGCAACUGUUGACACUGUUGGGUUUGUAAGUCCACCAUUUACCAUUUCACUAGAUUCUACCUGUUGCAUGUGUUCUUGGUUCCUAGUUUCCACUUCUCUGCCCUUCUUUGGGAUUGAGCAUUUUUUAUUAUUCAUUUUUUCUCAUUUGUUUAUUACGUUUCCUUGUUUUUUAAAAUAUAUAUAGUUGUUGCUCUGGGAUUUACAACAUGCAUCUUAGUCUUAUCACAGUCUAUUUUCAUAUAAUAUUAUACCACUUAACAGGUGGUAUAAGAAUCUAUAGCAGAUUUCAAUUUCCACCAAUCCAUUCUUUGUGCCCUUUUUAUCAUUUUACUUCUACAUAUGAUCCAAAAUCUUGUUGUUAAUUCUACUACAAGUAGUCAAUUAUCUUUUUAUAUUUACCCUCAAUUUUUCUGUUUCUUGUGAUUUUGUGUGUGUAUGUUGAUCCAAAUUUUUACUGUCUUUUUAAAAAAAUUUUUUAACGUUUUAUUUAUUUUUGAGACAGGGAGAGACAGAGCAUGAACGGGGGAGGGUCAGAGAGAGGGAGACACAGAAUCUGAAACAGGCUCCAUCCAGGCUCUGAGCUGUCAGCACAGAGCCUGACGCGGGGCUCGAACUCACGGACCGCGAGAUCAUGACCUGAGCCGAAGUCGGCCGCUUAACCGACUGAGCCACCCAGGUGCCCCCCAAAUUUUUACUGUUAUGUCAUAUUCCUUCUGUAUGAAUAAUUUCCUUUAGUAGUCCUUGUAGUGCAGGUCUGCUGGAAAUGAAUUAUCUUCCCUUUUAUUUCUCUGAAAAGGUUUUAUUUCUAUUUUAUUUUAUUUUAUUUUAUUUUAUUUUAUUUUAUUUUAUAGUUUUUAAUUUGAGCGAGAGAAAGCGUGCAAGUGGGAUAGAGGGGCAGAAGGUGAGAGAGAGAGAUGAUUAUCUUGUGAAAUUUGCUAUGGGAUGUGUGAAAGGGCGGGCCUAUGCCAGCCUUCACCUUGACCACGCCUCCUCCCCUUGAGUAACCCCCCCCCCACCUGCCUAACAGGACUCGGACACUUCCCCAGCCAAUCGGCUGAGGCCACAGCCAUUACCUCACCAACUGCCCCUAGGCCCCAAUAAAACCUUUGUCCUUUUAACUGGCUCUCUCUCCCCGGUAUCUCACAGCUGCGUCCAUGCAGGUAGGGGAUUGAGCUUGAGCUAGCUCGAAUAAAGGCUCUUUUGCUUUUGCAUGGGACUCGGCUCCCUGGCGGUAUUUGGGGAUCACGAAUUCUGGGCAUAACAACGUGCUCAACACUAAAUUCUAAUUUUAUAGAUUAUCACACUUUGGCUUGUUAUUAGGGUGAGAGAGAUGUCUCUUGCAGCUUUUUACAUCUUAACUAUAAGCAGAACAAGAAGUUCAUGUUUGAGGUCUUUUAAAAAUCUAUAUAAAUAUAAUGCAAGGAUAUCUGCUAAGAGUGAAGACUGGUGGUGGUAUGGAAAAUUUUAAGAGAAUGAAAGAAGUUGAAUACAGCUAGUGCAGAUAAAGGAAGAAAAAGAAUAAUUUAGAGAAGUAUGAAAAUUUGGCAAAUUUGAAUGGAGAUGUUAUGAUGCUAAGUAUUGUCAUUUGCCAUGGGCAAUACGUAUCAUUGUGAAAUUUUCUCCAGGGUCACUCUGCAAUAAAGCCCAAGUGGGAAGGAUGAUAGCAAUAGGCACAGUGGAUUAACCCAGUUAUGAAGGUGUGUCCAGUUUGUAGGAUGGUCAAACAAACAAAACAAAAAGUUGGAGGAUACUAUUUGAAGUAAUUUAACAAUGUGUAAACUUGUUAAAGAAUUGAAGACAGGAAAUAGCUGACAAUUUGCAAGGAAAUACAGCACUCAAGUCAACGGCAGAAAUAAAAUGUGUUUCAGGAUUAUUAUAGUUUAGGAGCCAUGAGAACUGGGAGACAGUAUUCAGUGAGUGAUCCACAUAGCUGAUGUCUACCAGCUUGAUGGCAAAACAUGAAACACAUAUAAAGAAUAUGAACCAAAGGACGAAUUCUUUAGUGAAUGAGAGGAAGGAACAAGAAGGUACACACAAAAACAUAUUUUGAGGGAUACAGAAAAGUAGCGGUCUGGAAGUGCCUUAGUGAGCAUGAAAGUCACAUACACAUCCUAAUAAUGAGUUACAGGAGCAAUGGCAGAAUUAGUCAUAUAUGUUUUGCCCUCAGUGCAUAGAGGUGGAGGAAACAUUCAGAAAAGACACUGAGGAUUCCAGAGUGAUUGGUAGAAAGUUUUGGAAGGGAAGAUGGUAAUUGACAUUUGAGUCAGAGAAGGAUAAAUACAAAGAACAGGAUAAGAAUGACUGAGAGAGGUUACAUACUUGUUACAACCAAAGACCACAGUGACAUAAGGUCUGAGGGGUUUCGCAGGUUGUAUGUAGUCUUCCCGAAAUUUGUAGCUGCAACCCUUGUACAUGAGAGUCACACCCAACUUAUUCAUGGGUCUCAAUUGUUCUUAAUGGUGUUUGCUGCAAAUGGAGCCAUUUCCACAUAAAGCGGCAACGUCAAUUCAUUGAUUAAAGGCACAAGGUUCUGGUGCCAUGUGUAGGGGACUAUUUCCCUUCUUAUUUUAAAGCAGGUAAUUGUGGGUUUGCAUGCAAUCUUCUGGGUAGAGAGAAAAGUAAAGUUUUCCUGGUCUAGGAGCCAUUCUCUAUCCUUGAGAUGAUGUUGCAUAUUUUAGCAUUAAUUUUAGAACGUUUUGCCAACUAAUGUUACUCAACAUCAAAGCCAAACAUUAGUGGCAUGUCUUUCUGAGUGGUGUGCAAAUCUUUCAUGUAAUAAGGAUGGAGCACAGCAAUUACUGAGCUGCUCAGAUAUGGCAAGAUUUUGCUUUGCAGAAAUAAUAUCACGGCACCAAGAAUCCUAGAGGGGCGCCUGGUUGGCUCAGUCGGUUGAGCGUCCGACUUCGGCUCAGGUCAUGAUCUCAUGGUUCGUGGGUUCCAGCCCCCCAUCGGGCUUUGUGCUGACAGCUCAGAGCCUGGAGCCUGUUUCGGAUUCUGCGUCUCCCUCUCUCUCCGCCCCUCCCCCACUCGCGCUCUGUGUCCGUCUCAAAAAUAAAUAAACAUAAAAAAAAAAUUAAAAAAAAAAAAAAGAAUCCUGGAAACUAGAUGCCAAUUAUCCCGAACAAAUUUUAAGGAUUCAGUACAACUCAGUUAAAAUGCAAAGGAUUUUCUGUGGAAACAAAACAAGAAAAUUCUAAAGUAUUUAGGAAAUUAAGACUAGCCAAGGCAACUUUGAAGAAAAAAGAGAAUGGACUUAUUCUACCCAGCAGUGAGAUUUGUUAUAAAGCUACCACAUCAAAAUAAUCUGGAGAGAAAAGCAGACUAGUGGGUUAGAAUAAAAAAUUUAGAAAUAAGCUGAUAUAUAAAUAGACAUUUGACACAAUACAAGUGGAAUUGCAAAGCAGUGGAAAUAGAAAGACAAUUUCAAUAAAUAGUUCUACAUCAAUUGCAUACUGUUAAUGAAAAAAUAAACAGGAAAUAACUCCUAUUUUAUAACAUGCAGAAAGAUCAAGUUCAGAUUGAUUAUAGAUUUAAAUCAUAUAAGACAAGACAAAAUCAUGGAUUGGAAGAAUUAAUACUGUUCAAAUGUCCUUUUCACCUAAAGCAAUCUAUAGAGUCAAUGCAACCUCUAUCAAAAUUCCAACAGCAUCUUUUCACAGAAAGAGAAAAAAAUAAUUAAAAAAAUAUAGAAAAAUAUAUUCAGGGCUUUGAGGUAGAAAAAAAAUGUUCUUGUUCAAAAUACUUAAGUAUUACCCAUAAAGAAAAGACUAUAUUUUGAACUUAAUUAUGCUCAAGAUGCUCUAAAUAUUAAAAGCAUCCAUUCUGUUGAAAAUACCCCAAGGAAAAGCAACUGGUGACAUGAUCAUUUAAACAAAGCAUUGUUAUCUACAAGCCUGAGAGCAUGGAGAACUGAGAAUGCAAAGGUCAGCCACAGACUUGAAGAAAAUAUGUCAACACAUGUAAGGUACAAAAGGCUUGUUUUCAGAAAUACAAAUAGCUCCUACAAUUAAGAGAAUGAACACUAAUAGAAAUAUGAGAAUAGAUGUGAAUGUGUGUUUUCCAGUGAGAAUAUCCAAAAGGGCAAUAUACAUAUGAAAAAGUGUUCAAGCCCAUUAGUAACUACAGAAACGCAAAUUAAAACCAAGAUGAGUGCUUCAACACACCCACCAGGAUGACCAAAAUUACAAAGUGUUCAAACUAAGUGUUGGUAAAAAUAUGAAGCAAGGAUGCAAGUAUAAAUUUAUAAAUAUACUUUAGAAAAUUACUUGGUUAUUAUCAACUAAUGUUCAAAGUACGCACCCCCGAUUGGCCCUGGGAUUCCAUCCCCACAUACAUGCCCAACAUAGAAGUGUACGUAGUAGCCCAACAGAUAUGCACACCAUUGUUUUCAGUUAUCAGCAUUAUAUAAAAUUGCCCAAAUUGGAAAUGAUGCUGUUUCUUUUUUUUCUAAGUUUAUUUAUUUUGAGAGAGAGAGAGAGAGAGAGAGAGAGAGAGGCAGGGAGGGGCAGAGACAGAGGCAGACAGAAAGAAUCCCAAGCAGGCUCCACACUGUCAGAACAGAGCCCAACAUGGGCACAGAACCCACAAACCUUGAGAUCAUGACCUGAGCUGAAACCAAGAGUCAGAUGUUCAAUGAACUGAGUCACUCAGGCACUUCAAUGAUUCUGUUUCUUAACUAGAAUAAAUGAGAGCAUAUUCAUAUAACAUGAUACUAUAUACCAAUUAAAAUGAAUAAGCCUCUGCUUAUGGUUAAAUCUCACAAACAUACUAUCAGAUGAAAGAAGUCAACUGCAAAAAAAAGAAAAAAGAGGAAAAUAGAAGAGAAGAGGGGGAGUGGGGAGAGAGGAAGGAAGGAGGAAAAUACAUAGUACAUGAUUUCACAAAUGUAAAAUUGAAAAUAAGCAAAACUAGUCUCACCUAGUGAAUACUUUUAGGGAGAAGGGAGGUGAGAGAAAUAAAUGAGAUUUGGGGAGUGCUGGUGAUGUUCUAUUAUUUAUCUUGGGUGGGGAUUACACAAGUGUGUUUAUUAUACGAUCGUCCAUCCACCUAUACACUUAAGGUUUGCAAACUUUUCUUUCCUAAUGUUAUCUUUCAAUAAAAGUUUAACUUUAAAUAUGCAUUUCCAAAUUAUAAACUAAAUUAAAAUACAUGAGUCAGGGUUUAAUUUCUGGAGAGCUACCUAUUACCUAAUCCCUAAUUGCCCACUUUCUUUAAACAUAACUUAGAUGGUUUGUGGCUUAGCUUUCAUCAAUAGUUUUAAUUUUGUUCUUUUCUCUCCUGAUUGAAUGGAGACUCAACUGGCUUCAGUCCAAUAAGCAACUCAUUAAGGCUAAAGAUUUCCUCUGUUCUCACCAUACCUGCUACUUUACAACUCUGCUCAAUUUUAUGAAGUUAGUGACACCUUUGCUUUUUCAUCAGCUAUAUUUUUUCUUAAUGUCUUCAUAAUUAUAAUAGUGCAAUAUAAUAUUUUAACAUUUCUUCAAACCUAGCUAUAGAUAAUACCACUGACAAAUCUUUAUUGGUCAUUGAUAGGCUCCACCAACAUAUGAAAAUACAAAAUAUCCAGGUCUUAGAUAAUACAUAAAAUUUUGCAGGCAAAAAUAAUUAUAAUGAUGUGAGUGUGUAACUCACUACAGAGUCAGUUGUUGAAAAACAGAAUACAUUAAAAUUAAAUAUGCCCAGAAUCCUUUAAGUUAUUUUAUAAUAAUUUAUAUUUCAGAUAUCCAUAUGUAUGAUCUUCCUUAAGCAAUGCUUGGUCUAUAGACAUACGUUUUGUAUAUUUUUCAAAUAAUCUUAAAAAACAGUUUCUUGGGGCACCUGGCUGGCUCAGUCGAUAAACCAUGAGACUCUUGAUCUCAGGGUAAUGAAUUCAAGUCCCACCUUGGGGUAGAGUUUACUUUAAAAAAAUGGUUUUCUCUGGCCAUAAUGAAUAACUGUUAUUAUUGGGGCAUAAAGAAAAUUGAGCUGUAUUUAGUUCUUUUCCCCUUUCCUCAAAUUACUACACCUUAAUACCUUAUGUUUUCACAAAUUUAGAGUAUCAUAACUAUUUAAACAAAACUAGACAUGUUGCCAUCAUUCUCAAUAUUUUAAUAUUCAAAAAGAAGGGGUAGGGUUAUAAACUGUUUUGAACAAUGUGUGAUCCAUAGCACUCCCCUAUAAGUGUUUGCUAAAAUAAAAUAAAACAUGGUAUAAGUAAGAUAAAAUAAAAUCUUCCUUGAUAUGGUAACAUCAUAAGUUGCUUUUAGAUUCUCUGUACCUGGCAAAUAUUAAGGGUCUCUCUCUCUCUCUCUCUCUCUCUCUCUCUCUCUCUUUUAUGGGUUUCUUGGGCUCUUCAUUUUAUUAUUGCUGUUAUGAUUAUUAGAAUUUUUUUCUAGGGGCACCUGGGUAGCUCAGUCAGUUAAGCAUCCAAGUCUCGGUUUCAGCUCAGGCUAUGAUCUCACAAUUCAUGUGUUCAAGCCCCACAUUGGGUUCUGUGCUGACAGUGUGGAGCCUGCUUGAGAUUUUCUGCCUCCCUCUCUCUCUGCCCCUCCCCUGCUCACUCUCUCUCUCUCUCUCAAAAUAAAUAAAUAAACUUAAAAAAAUUGUAAGAACUUUUUCUGUAGUUAUUUAUUUUCAUCUCUUUCAUUAUGAUUUCUUCUUUUAGUUUAUAUUUUAAUUUUUUUAAUGUUUUAUUUAUCUUUCAGAGAGCAUGAGUGAUGAAGGCACAGAGAGAGGAGGGGACAGAAGACUUGAAGUGGGCUAUGCACUGAGGGUAGCAAGCCCAUUGAGGGGCUCGAACUCAUGAACCGAGAGAUCAUGACCUGAGCUUCAGUGGGACACUCAACCACCGGAGCCACCCAGACGCCCCAUUAGUUUUAUAUUUUAAAGAUCUGAUAUACUUCCUUUCCCACACACGUAUGUAUCCAUUUAGAGUAAAUAUUUAUUAUUUUGUAAUUUUAGAUUUGAUUUUUUUUCUGUCUACAUUUUUGUUGAGGGCCUGUGUUAGGGGCCAGUGAAUUUUUUCUCUGUUACUUAAAUUAUUACAGCAAUAAUAAUUUUUGCAUAUCUUCCUUCCCACGCUCACUUUCAAAUACCACAUUUACAUAUACUUCCACAAUGCCUAUUUCUUUUUCAGAGAUUUUGGAUUUAUUUCCACUGAUCAAUUUAUUUAUAACCAAGAACUAUACUAAUUUCAUUUUUGCCUUGAAUUAUAUCUUAAUAUAACUUUACUCUUUACUCUUGCAGUGUUCAAAACCUUCUAAAUUUUUUUCACCCUAUUUUUGGAUGAUUUUUAGAACCACCUGAGUCUUACAGGAUGAGUAGGAGUGACCAGAUGAACGUAGCAAGGUCCAUUUCAGGCACAGGAAGCCUUAGAUGAAAGGCAUAAUACCACAGACCAUGGAACUUUCCAUGAAUUGCAAAUGGUACAGUAUGCUUGGACUGAAUAAUUUGACAAGGUGAAUGGCACAGGUGGUGUUAGACAGAUGGUCAGAAGCAGGUCAUGUAAAAACUUAUAAGGAUUUUAUUCUAAAGAUUAUAAAGGGUUUUCAUCCAGGAGGAAACAUGAACAGAUGAGUGUUUUUAAAAAGAUCACCUUGGGGUGCCUGGGUGGCUCAGUCGGUUAAGCGGCCGACUUCGGCUCAGGUCAUGAUCUCACGGUCCGUGAGUUCGAGCCCCGAGUCAGGCUCUGUGCUGCCAGCUCAGAGCCUGGAGCCUGUUUCAGAUUCUGUGUCUCCCUCUCUCUGACCCUCCCCCAUUCAUGCUCUGUCUCUCUCUGUCUCAAAAACAAAUAAACGUUAAAAAAAAAAAAUUAAGGAAAGAGGUUGAAGAUGGCGGCGUAGGAGGACGCUGGGCUCACCGCGCGUCCUGCUGAUCACUUAGAUUCCACCUACACCUGCCUAAAUAACCCAGAAAACCGCCAGAGGAUUAGCAGAACGGAGUCGCCGGACCCAAGUGCAGACGAGAGGCCCACGGAAGAGGGUAGGAAGGGCGGCGAGGCGGUGCGCGCUACACGGACUGGCGGGAGGGAGCCGGGGCGGAGGGGCGGCUCGCCAGCCAAGCAGAGCCCCCGAGUCCGGCUUGCAAAAGCGGAGGGGCCUGACGGACUGUGUUCCGACAGCAAGCGCGACUUAGCGUCUGGGAGGUCAUAAGUUAACAGCUCUGCUCGGAAAGCGGGAAGGCUGGAGGNUAAAAAAAAAUUAAAAUAAAUAAAUAAAUAAAAAGAUCACCUUGAUAACAUAAAAAAAUGAAUCAAGUGGAGUGAAGAAUGAGACCGAGAUGCUUUUGUGAUCAACACAAGAAAUGUUAAAAGUCUAAACUAAGGCUGUGAGGCUGGAGAGAAGAAUAUAGAAGAUUUGAGAAAGUGAAAGAACAUGUAUGAGGAGGUGCAAAAAACAUGAUUUUAGUAACAACUGUAGUCAGAGGUGAAAAAGGCAAGGAGCAGAUGAGUCAAGGAUCACUUCCAAGUUUCUGUCUUGAGAUAACCGGGAAAGGUGUGCUUGUUAGAGACUGCCUAAUAACGUACCCGUAUGAGAUCCAUCAAGGCACAUAUAUGAAGAGAAAUAUGAAUUGAAGAUAUGCAAUGAAAUAUGACUAAUAGAUAGUUGUAAAUGUAUGUCAGGUGCUCAGGAGAACCAAGGAGAGUGGUGACCCACAUUUAGAGGUUACUCCAUCUACACUGAGAUCAUAGGGUUAAAUAAGAUUACUCUGAGAAAGCAAGAAAAGGCCGAAGAUGAAAACACAAAAGCACCCACAUUUAAAGAGUAAUUAGCAGAAUAAUCAUCAAUAAAGACAAUGAGGAGAAUGAGGGUCAGCAGUCAGAAAAGUAAGAAGGCAAGAAGAAAAAAAAAAGUUGUUCCUUGGAAGACAGGGAUAACAUUUCAAGGAGUAAAAGGCAGUCAUAAUUUCCAAAACUUGCUGAGCAGGGAUGAGAUAAAAAAUACAUCCAUUGGAUAUCACAUCUAGAACUUCACUGACAACUUUUUUGAGAGCAAAGUGAGGUAAAGAGACAAAGUCACUGUGUUGCAGAGAAUUGAUAGUAAUUCCAAUCAAGUAUUUAUCUAUUCUCUCAAUGUAUACUUUUGCCAGUGCUACUAUGGGUCAAGAACUGUGCUGGAUAUGGGUCUAUAGCAAUGAACAAAUCAAAUUCUCUGGCUUAGUAGAGAUGACCCUCUCCUCUGGGAAGGGAUAAAUCAUGAAGAAACAGUGAAGAGAUAAAACAUAAAUGAAAACAGAGAAGACCUUCGUGUGGAGUUUAAGGUUAGGGCUGAAAGAAGGGAAGGGGAAAGCACUAUGAAGAAGAACACUGUGGGAACAGGCUAUGGUCAGUGGCUCCCAGACAGGUGCAUGUGUGGUGGGACUGAGGCAGGAUAUGGAGCCCAGGGUGAAGAAAGGGAAGAGCUCAAGAGAUGAGGGAGAGAAGUGGGAGAGGGCUCAGUCAUGUCUGGGCCUUGAGGAGAAUUUCAUGGGGAAUUCUAAAUUUAUUCUAAGUAUGUUGAGUUGACUUAGGAAGGGUUUAAGCCAUGAUUGCACUGAUUUGCCAAAUGUUUUUUUUUUUUUUUUUUUUUAAUUUUUUUUCAACGUUUAUUUAUUUUUGGGACAGAGAGAGACAGAGCAUGAACGGGGGAGGGACAGAGAGAGAGGGAAACACAGAAUCGGAAACAGGCUCCAGGCUCUGAGCCAUCAGCCCAGAGCCCGACGCGGGGCUCGAACUCACGGACCGCGAGAUCGUGACCUGGCUGAAGUCGGACGCUUAACCGACUGCGCCACCCAGGCGCCCCUGAUUUGCCAAAUGUUAAAAGAAUCAUUCUGUUGCUCUUUGGAUAACAAAUUGUGAAAGCAAGGAUACAGAGCGAUGGUAAAAUUCUGUGCAAGUGGCUUUGCAGAAGGAAGGGGGUGGACUAGGGGGAUAGCUAGAUUGCAGUGAAAGGGAAGAGACGGGCUUAAAUCUGAGAGACCCAAGUCUAUUCAGUGGUGUAGAGGAAGAGCCUGCGGUGGAGGCAGGUGAAGACACCAUGAAGAACGUAUGAUUAAUGUCGGAAAGCUUUAUGGUGAAAGAAGGAUUCGAUUUGGGCCAAAGGAGGGAUGACUCUUCCACUGAUUUAGAAAAAAAGGAAAAGAAGGGAAGCCGAUUUAGCUAAUUUUAUAAUGGACACUCAAGAGGCUGAAAAUGUCUUUGUCUAUUAUUGGCCUCUAUUUUCUCCAUCAAAUAGGUAGGAAAUUUCAAAAAGGACAAGGAAAAAGGUCGGUGUCAAUUUUGGGAAAUGGAAAAAUUGACAUUAGAAACACAUCAAAUGGUUGCCAAGCAUUAUUAAGGCCCAGUUGAAAACUGAGGUGAUGUAUUUUAUGACACAAGCAUAAGCUUGUCAUUUGGCACAAUCAUUUAUAUGCGUUUCAAUCCUUAUACUGGGCCUUGAAAUAUUUUCCUGACAUUAAACAUGUUUGAUAGGCAUGCCCUCAAAACACUGUGUAUUGUUCUUAUCAUUGUUUUCUGUUAAUUUUUUAUUUUCCUAAAACAUGAUUUGACAGAUUAUCUUAAUGGGAUGAUGCUGAUAACUAUGAUUAUAUCAAUGUAUCACAUCCAUCACAGGAAAAAUGUUACUUAUAGAGAAGUAAAGAUAAAUGCUCUACCUUUAGAUAUCAUGUCAAAUCUCAUGAAAGAAAAUAUUUCAUGAAAAGUGUCACUGUAUACAACCUAUUGCUAAUAAACUAUGAAUGCCUGAAUUUUAUCUCUAUUACCUGAGACGCUUUAAGACUAAAUAUAAAUGUUCAUUGUGGGUAAGGGAAUUAAAAUUGCACAUUGAAUGAGUGACUGAUUUAGACAGAAAUAAUCCCAAACUAUUUAUACUUCAAGAGUCAUGGUUUAAAUAAUAAGCAUACUGGGCAGUGUUCUUAUUUUAGAAAAAAAAUAUCUUUCCGCAUAUACUCUAUUACAUUAGAAUUAUUUUCAGAAACAAGUAUUGCAUUGUAAAAUGUAAUGGAAUCAUGGAGAAAGAUGUGACCUCUGACUGAAGUACAUUUUAUUAUAAUAAUAUUUUAUACUUCUGGAAUAUUUGUUAUUUCUUAGCGCUCAGAAGGCAAGUGUAUAAGAAAAUAUCUAACCUAAUUAUUUCUAAGUGUGUACUUUUACUUUUUGCAAUAUUAUCUGAAUUAGUUUAGUGUCAAAAUUACUGCUGAUUGGGUACAUAGCUAUAUUUCACUCAACCUUAGAAACACUUUUUUUUCCAAAUUUCUCAACAACUGAACAAAUGUAAUUGGCACGAAGAUUCCAAGAGCUUCCUCACUCCCAGAUAAUUUGAUGUGCUCCACUGGCAUGCACUUAAGCUUAUGUGGAAAGCAGGGGCAGUGAUCUCCUCCUAGGGAGAAUAAAAUGAUCCAUGAUAAAGAAAUAAGGCAAGAACCACAUUUCAUUUAACAAAUAUCAAUGCAGACAGACCCUGAGUCUUAUAAAUAUCACAUUCCAGAAUAAAUUAUGUAAAUUAAAAUGUGGAUUGUAUAGUUUGUUCCACGUAUUCUUCCAUUGCCCUCAGCCUUACUCCUUUUCCAAGCCUUGGCAGCAUGUGAAAAAGCGUGGUCACAAAAUGGGUUACCAGUUAGCACCACCCAGGCUGAGAAUGUGUCUUCUACACUUCUGUAUAUUCAAGACUGGGAUUAAAUACUAAUGUAACAAAUAAGAAGGGUUUUCUCAGCCAGCCUUGGAAAGCCAGAUUAGCCUUCUCAGAAUCCAGGGAAUAACAGAUGAAAGGGAAACCCAGUCCUGGGUAGGAGUUGGAGGUAGGAUCCUAGUGAUUAUUUUUAAUGGUCUACCUAUGACCGUAUAUCCCACCUGGGGGCAUCUGCAAACACUGUUAUCUUCCCCAAAUAUACAAACCUCCAAAGUAUAUAUAUCCAAGUGAAGAAAAAUGUAGAGGUCUCUAGUUUCUGGGCAUACAAGGUGAUUUGCAGGGUUGAUGGGGUGACAGUGGGGCAAUUAGCCAGUGCAGCCACUGAGUUCUUCAGACUGUCUCCAGCAACAUUCACUGUUUGCACCUCAGAAAUUCUACUCAGGUUUUGGCGCACCAGCCUUAGACCCUAAUUUUCCUUUCUCCCUGGAAAUUGAACAUUUGAAGCUAUCUCCUACUAUUUUUCUUAAGAACAGCAUAAAUAGAUUUUACAUUUUUUAGAAAUUGAAUGUUAGGGAAUCUAAAGAAAAUCUGCAGCUUUAUUCUUCCUACCUUUGAAUCCUUUGCCCAGAGAAAGGAGAUGACCACAGGACACUAGGUCAUAUUUUUCUACACUUAACUCCCAAACUUGACAGACACAGCAAUUGAAAACCUUAGUACAGCAUCGCCCUGUGUUAUUUAUAGGAAUUUUUAAGGAUCUGUUUUCAAACAUUACCAUUUAACUAUAAAAAUUCAAGGAGUGUGUAGGAAAAUAUUUUUUUAUGUUUUAUAUUUUAUUUUUAAAAUUUUUUUAACGUUUAUUCAUUUUUUGAGAGAGAGAGAGAGACAGAGCGAGAGUGGGGGAGGGGCAGAGAGAGAGGGAGACACAGAAUCCCAAGCAAGCUGCAGGCUCUGAACUGACAGCACAGAGCCCAACACAGGGCUCAAACCCACAAACUGUGAGAUCAUGACCUAAGCGGAAGUUGGAGGCUCAACCGACUGAACCACCCAGGUGCCCCUUUUUCAUGUUUUAUUUCAUUUUUGAGAGAGAGAGAGACAGAGUGUGAGUGGGGGAGGGGCAGACAGAGAGGGAGACACAGAAUGUGAAGCAGCUCCAGGCUUCAAGCCAUCAGCACAGGGCCCAACGAUGUGGGGCUCUGGCUCAUGAACCAUGAGAUCAUGACCUGAGUCAAAGUCGUACGCUUAACCGACUGAGCUACCCAGGUGCCCCAAGGGGUGCACAGGAAAUAUUAACCGAACUUUUCUUUUUUAACUUAUUCCUACAAUCUUUCCAUUCAUUAUAUUUCCUUAUAAUGUUGUACCCAACUUCUGUAAGUAUAGCAAUAAAUCUUGAAUAUCGAUUUUAACAAGAUUUGUUCCAUAUUGAAAUAGAGAAAAAUGUAUGUUUUAAUAUUUAUCUUUCCUUAUUUUCCUUCCUUCCUUUUCUCCUUUUCUUCCUUUCUUCAUUUUAUUUUUUUCUAUCAGAGGUACCAAAAAGAUCAAGUAACUUCUCAGAAAAUAUAUUCCUUAUAAACCCGCAUAACACCGAGAACACCACGCCCCCACUGUCACCAUCAAUCACCUACUUCACAAUUUAAUAGGAUAUCACCAUUCUGUCUACUUGGAAACUUGCUGAAAAGGGAUGCAUAUACUAGUUCUAUAAAUGCUCAUAACAUUUAUAAAAAAUGUUAGAAAUGGCCAUAAAGGGCUACUCUCUCUUGUCUAUCUCUCUUGUCUAGAAUUCUGGAUUGAGUUAUAAAUUUUAAAUGCUCUCAGUGAUUAUUACUCCCUUGCCUUUUUGCCACAACUGUGAUCCAAACUAAAAUAAUGUUAAACUAUAAAAUAAGAGGAAGGAAGCCAUGCAGGUUUAGAUUUUUCUCAUAGUGACUAUAUUGAUGUGCUCUGUACUUGGGAUAUAGACGUUCCUUCAAAAAAUGUCUAGUUUUGUACUGGAUAUUAUUCUUACACUGCCAGUGUCCUAAGUGUGUGUUGAGUCUGCCUGUUGGGUUUUCUAGCACAGAUAUCAUUCUUUCAAUAUCACUGGUCUCUAGGGCUAGAGUUGGUUCAUACUUAUGAUUCUCUGCCUCCUUCUAAAUAAACCACUUCUUCACUGUUCAGAAUUAUCUUUUGUGGGUUUGUGACAUAUCUGUAGACCAAUCAGCAGAAAUUUAUUAAGCAUCCAAUAAAAGAAACACUAUAAUAGGUACUACAGGCAGGACAAGAAAAAAAAAAGGCAAUUUUUUUUAAUUUUCCCUUAGAUUUUUUUUUUAAAUUAAGUUGCUGAAAUGAUGAAGGAGAAUGGGACAAUUAAAAAUAUUGCUAAUAGUUCAGGGACAGAUGUGCUGGAUAAAAAAAAAAAAAAAGAAUGAUAAAAGCCCCAGGAUUUCAAAAGAGAGUAAAACCCAUUCUGUAUUCUGUUUCUCUUAGAGAAAUUCAGACUUGAUCCAUCUUGAGAGAUAACUAAGGUGUUUAAUAAACAAUGAAAAAAUGGACCAGAUGUUCAUGACAUCUAAAAAGUAUGGGCAAAGAGAAUGUACAUGUCUUAUUUGAAGGCUGGUAAAUGAUGAGCUGCAGUGAAGGCUUUUAAACUGUGGAUAAUGAGAGAUAAGUCUAUUAAAUGGGUUAAUUCACAUUAUAAAGGGCCUCAAGUACACUGCCAAGGAAUCUGGUAUAAUGAGGAACCACUGAAUUUUUUAAACCAGAGAAAGACACAAAUGAAGCAGUGUUUCUGGAUUGGCUUGGCAGCAAUGUGCAGUGCAUACUGGAAUCAGGAGAUCAUUUAAGUCAAAAUCUCCCCUUAGAUACCACUUGAUAAUAUGAGAGUUCUCUAUCUGAUCUAGAAUGGCAUUAUACUUCUCAACAGCAGGAACUCCUCUUGACAGCAGGUGUCAGAUCAGGAAGCUUUCCCUAAAGCUAUUGCACAUGUUCACAACUCUGAAUCGGCCAGCCACACCCAGGACACUAGACAAGAUGUUGGUCUAAGAAGAGAGUUUGCAAUUACAAACUGGUUUCCUUUCAAACUUAACCCCUGCAGUAUAUGAAGAUGCAUUUAUAGUAAGUUUUCAUACUGUGAUUGAUUCCUUUCUGGUUUCAGUACAUGGCCCAAUGUUCAUUUUCCCAAUGUUCUGAAGAGAUACUGCUUUCUGCUAUGUAUUAUCAUAGAUGCCAGUCACUUCAUGUGUUUCUCAAUUUCAUUCCACUUGGCUUUUAGAUAAAAAUCAGUUAUGAGCGUCCGUGAUAAAGAACAAUUAAAACUGUAUUCUCUCGGGGCGCCUGGGUGGCGCAGUCGGUUGGGCGUCCGACUUCAGCCAGGUCACGAUCUCGCGGUCCAUGAGUUCGAGCCCCGCGUCGGGCUCUGGGCUGAUGGCUCAGAGCCUGGAGCCUGUUUCCGAUUCUGUGUCUCCCUCUCUCUCUGCCCCUCCCCCGUUCAUGCUCUGUCUCUCUGUGUCCCCAAAAAAUAAACGUUGAAAAAAAAAUUUUUAAAAAAAUAAAACUGUAUUCUCUCAAUUAGGUUGUGUAUAAUUUUAACAAGAUUCUAGUCUUCUAAGAGUUCACGGACUUACUGAAUGGUAUUAUAUGGUAUAGUAGGUGCUAUUAACUGUUCCACAGUUUGGCUCUUCAACUUCCUAGGGACUCAAUUCCACUUACUUUCAAGCCUGCCUUGAAGUUAAAUGUUGCCAUGGAACCUGAUUAAAACCAAUAGAAUGUGAUCAGAAGUAAUGAGUGUCAUUUGAGCUAACUCCUUAAAAUUCUCGUGUAUACUUGCCAUGUUCUUCACCUCUAUGGGAAGCUACAAUGGGGAUAAUACCAAGGUUGACUUCAUAAAUCACAUACAGAGGAUAAAAUAAUCUUUAUUAACCCAGACUCCUAAUGACUUUGAGGAGAUACAUUAUCCCACUGAUGUAUCCACCUAUUGAAUACUGGUACGUGAGUAAGAAACAAACUUCUAUUGUUAAGAAAUUCUACUCUAUUCUGUUCUAUUCUAUUCCAUUCUCUUGUACAUUGGACCACUAUGCAUUUUGGGAACUAUUUGUUAAAUAGAGUUAAUCUACUAUAAUUGUACACAGACAACAAGUGGUUUGUUCUAUUGUGAACAACACAAAAAUGGCUUUAAAAGGAUGUAAAUUCAGGGGCAUCUGGGUGGCUCAGUCGGUUAAGUGUCCAACUUCAGCUCAGGUCAUGAUCUUAUCGUUUGUGGGUUCGAGCCCCAUGUCAGAUCUGUGCUGACAGCUCGGAGACUGGAGUCUUCUUAAGAUUCUGUCUUCCUCUCUCUCUGCCCUUCCCCUGAUCACACUGUCGUUCUCUCUUUCUCUCUCUCUUUCUCAAAAAUAAAAUAAACAUUAAAAGAAGGAUGUAAAUUCAUGGCAAGUUAAUUUUUUAGUAAGAGAUUUAUGGUCAGCAAAACUUUAAAAAUACAAAAAUUAAAGGGAGCCCUGACUACACAAUUUUUAAACAUUUGACAUAUAUAAAACAUAAUUGGCCAUAUUUAGAUAAGUAAUCACUGUCAAAGAUUCUUUAUUAGUUAAUGUGUUGGGUUGAAAGUAACUUUAAAAAAUACAGGGGUGUCUGGUGGCUCAGUUGAUCGAGCGGCAGAGUUCGGCUCAGGUCAUGAUCUCACGGUUCAUGAGUUCAGCCUUGCAUCGGGCUCUGUGCUAACAGCUCAGAUCCUGGAGCCUGCUUUGGAUUCUGUGUCUCCCUCUCUCUCUCUCUCUCUCGCUCUCAAAAAAGAAUAAACAUUAAAAAAAGAUAAAAUAACUUUAAAAAUAUCUAUGUGUUAUCACCAACCCCCCCUUUUUACGUUUCUUUUAACUUUUUUUUCAAACCUAAGGAAAUUCUACAAUAAUUUCUUACCAUAUUUAAAGGCAAACAUUUUAAAGAAGUUUUCUUUUUUAAAAUGUAUCAUUUAGCGAGAGAGAGAAGGAGACAGAGCACAUGAGCAGGGGAGAAGGGCAGAGGGAGAGUGAGAGAAUUUCAAGCAGGCUCCAUGCAGCAUGGAGUCUAACAUGGGGCUUGAUUCCAUGACCCUGGAAUCAUGUCCUGAGCUGAAAUCAAGAGUUAGACACUCAACUGAGCCACUAAGAAACUUUCCCUAAAGAAAGGACGUCCCUAAGGAAACUUUCUUAAUCAUGGUUUUCAAAUAUAUUUUCAUAUAUGGACCGUAUAUAUAACUUUACUUUUUAGGAGGUUAGCUACUUUGGUUAUUUGACCAGGAUUGCUUCAAAUACAUGCAGAACAUGCUACGCAUGUCACACAGUUACUUUUAGUAAGUACCCUUUCUAAAUCUGUUAAAAAAGAAACUGUCUAAGAUGCUGAAGGAAUAGUUAGGACUACAGUGGAUUUCAAAGCUACCUCCAUUUCUUUAAAUAUUAUGGUAAAAAUGUAAACUGUGUUACACAAUUAUGUUCCAUUCACAACUUCAGUCAUUAAAUUCCAUUAAUCAUCUAUUUGGAAACUAUUUGAUAGCCCCCUAUUUUCAUCUCAGGGUGAUUUCAGUGUUUUGAAAAUGUAUCUAUUCUCUCCCUGCUUUGCUUCUUUAUUGUGUACAGGUGAUGAACUUGAUGUAGAAUGGGCCUUCUGCUUAAAAAGAUAUGUUUUUAUAGGGUGUCUGACAGCUGGAAUUGAAUAAUAUCUUUUCUAAGGCAUUUUAUUAUGAAAAUUCUUUUUUAGAGUCAGCCUCACAUAAGGCUUGGCUUUUUGUUGUUGCUAGUUGGGUCUUGUUUGUUUUGGGUGAUAACUAGAGAUCACAAAUGAUGAAUUCAGUGGUCUGCAAUACUUUAAGAUCCUUACUUGGAGGCACAAGUCCAAUAUUUAAAAUUACAUUUUGAAAUGGUAGCCAAUUAAAUUGUUAACAUUAACUACAAAUGCAGUAAUAGUCUGAAUAUAUGCCUGACUCUAAGAUUUUUAUGAUAAACUCCCCUGAAAGAUUGUGUGUAUGUGUGCAUGUAUUUAUUUGCUUGUUUGUUUGAAUUGGCCUUUAUCUCAAGGAUUUUACUAUGACUUCCUCACAUUUAUUUCACCUUACAUGAAAGAUGCUUUCACAUGCAUUUCCUAGGGAAUUUUUAUUUUUCUUGUUAUUAUGUCUUAUUUGUACUACUAUCGAUUACACAAGUGAUCUAAUUAAAUAUAACUAAUAAUUAUGUUCUAAUUUCCUAUAUAUUGCUGAGGACACCUCUGCAAUACAUUGUUCAAAAUACACUGCCAAACACUAACAAUGGAGUCAUCUUAAAUGUGACUUUAAUAUCCUAUUCAUGUCACUUGAAUCCUUUUAAUGAAUUCUUAUAUACACAGUCUCAUCAGUAAUGAAUCUAAAUCAUUGUUGAUACUUGAUACUAAAGCAUUAAAAUAAUGUUACCACAACUAAGCAAUGAAUCAUUCAAUCAUCACUGAGAUUCCACCAUUCAGUACCUUAUAAUGAAAAUGUAAUUGUUCUUCCUUAGCCUAGUAUUCAUGAUAACAAACAUGAAUUCCCUAUGUCUUUCUUCUUUUUCUUUAAGUGUUAAACAUUUUUCAAUAUUUUCAUUAAAAAAAAAGAAAAUUCAAAAACAUUUCUAAAUCUCUGUUGAGGUUUUAUGCUAGGAGAGUAACUUCAGAUGAAUAAAAUCACCUUGGAAAAUGUACAAUAUUUUUGGAAUCAAAAGAAUUAUUUUAACUAUGAUUAUUUCUACUAAUUAUACACAACAUAUAUUAGGUACUAUAAAGAAAUUAACUGGUAUUUCUGGGGAAGAUGGCAGAGUAGGAAAAUCCUAAGCUCACCUUAUUCCAUUGAUACAGGUAGAUAACACUCACAUCAGUGUAAAUAGCUGAAAAAAAAAUGACUCAAAGAAUGGCAGAACAGAAUCUCCACAGUUAACUGUAAAGAAGAAGCCAUUUGAAAGAGAGUAAGAAGGGAGGAGAUGUGGUCAGGAGUCAAAUGGACCCAUGGGACUGUCCAUAGGAGUGAGGGAUCUGGCAGGAGUAGAGAGGGGAAAGUAGUAGAUCCUCAAGCACGGUACCCCAGACACAGGUCCACAUGUGGAACAAAAGUCCCUAGAACAUUUGGCAUUGAAAAUUGGUGGAGCUUAAAACCUUAAUACCUUAAUACUUCAAAAAUCAGGGGGCUCCACUCAAGGAGAGCUGGGAGGACAGAGUUCCCACCCUUAAGAUACUAUUGCAAUACUACAAAUAGACCCUUGGAAUAUAGCAUAGAAGCAGGUGUUUGAAAAAUGCUUGGGAUAUAUAGGAAGACUUAUUUACUAAUCUCAGAACAAUGUUCUGGAGGGGCAGGGAUUAUUGGGAGACCUCUCCAAGAACAUAAAAGCUGGCAGGCGCCAUUUCCCUCCUGUGCCCCCACCCUAGACACAAGGACCCCUGCAAGGACCAGCAUGGUACUAACACUUACUACCUAACCUGCCAACCCACGACCCACCCUCAUAUUCUCCGGCAGACACACCGCUCCAACCAGGCCCCAAUCCAAUUCUCCUCCCACAGCAGACCCACACAAACCUUACUAACAUUAUAUGCCCUGCCCCUGACUCUUAUGCAGCUCUGCCUACUCCAUCCAAGCCUGGGGAGUAGUUUUCCCCAGAUGCUGCGGGUCCCCGCCCACAGUAGACACUUGCGGACCUUGCUGGCACUAUACUCCCCACCCCCACAUUCUCCUGCACAACUGCCCCCUACAAAGUGCCCUUGACCAUAACCCAUCUAAAGCAGUACCACAAGCCUAGCAGUGUGCAAUUCGCCCUGACAAGGGCCAGCACCACUCCAAAGUGACUCCUGCAAUAUGCCUGAUAGAGAACUUAACAUAAUGGUCAUAAAGAUACUGGAUUUGAGAAAACAGUUUUGGACCUCAGUGAGACCCUCAAUGAAGAGGUAGAAGACAUAAAAAAGAACCAAUCAGAGAUGAAGAAGGCAAUAACCAAAAUUAAAAAUACAUUAAAGGGAAUAACUAGUGAAUUAGAGAAAGCCAAAGAAUGGAUCAGCAACCUGGAGGACACAGUAAUGGAAAGCAAUCAAAUUUAACAGGAGAAAGAGAAAAGAAUAACAAAAAAUGAGAAUAAAUUAAGGGAACUCAGUGACACCAUCAAGUGUAACAACAUUCAUUUUAUAGGGAUUCCAGAAGAAGAGAGAAAGGGGGGAAGAAAAUUUAUAUGAAAAAAAUAGUAACUGAAAAAAAUCCUAAAUCUGGAAAAGGAAACAAAUUCAGAUCCAGGAGGCACAGAAAGCCCCCAACAAAAUCAACUGAAGGAAAUCCACACCAGGACACAGUAAUAAAAAUGGCAAAAAGUGCUGAUAAAGAGAGAAUUUAAAAGCAGCAAGAGGAAAGAAAACAGAUAUAUACAAAGGUAACUCCAUAAGGCCAUCAGCAAACUUUUCAGCAAAAACUGUAGGCCAAAAGGCAAUGGCAUGAUAUAUAUGAAGUCCUGAAAGAAAAAAAAAAAAAAAACCUACAACUAAGAAUAUUCUAUCCAGCAAGGCUAUUUUUCAGAAUGGAAGGAGAGAGAAAGAGUCUUGCAGACAUACAAAAGUUAAAGGAAUUCAUGACACUAAACCAGUCUUGGAAGAAAUGUUAAAGGGGAAUCUUUGAGUGGAAAGGAAAGACCAUCACUAGGAUAAGAAAAGUAGAAAGGAUAAACGCAGUAAAAGUAAGUGUAUUUAUAAAAAUUAGUCAAGGGAUUCACAAAAUAAAAGGAUGUAAAGUAAGACACUAUAUGCCUAAAAUGUGGGGGGGGUGGAGGAAAGACUAGGCUCAAACUUAAGAGACCAUUAAAUUAAUAUACACUGGUAUAUGCACGAGAUGUUAUAUAUAAAACAUAAUGACAGAUCAAACACUGGCGAUAGAUAUGCAAAAAAUAAAGUGAAAGAAAUCCAAGUAUAUCACUAUAGAACGUGAGCAAACCAAGGGAGAGGAGAGCAAGAGAAGAAAGGAACAGAGAAGAAAUACAAAAACAACUGUAAAACAAGUAACAAACUGGUAAUAAGUACAUACCUAUCAAUAAUUAUUUUGAAUAAAAAUUAACCAAAUGCUCCAUUCAGAAGACACAGGGUGAUGGAAUGUAUAAAAAAGCAAAACCCAUCUGUAUGCUGCCUACAAGAGACUCAUUUCAGACCUAAAGACACAUGCAGAUUGAAAGUGAAGGGGUGGAAAAGCAUAUGUAAUGCAAAUGGAAGUGGAAAUAAUAGUUAUAUUAGACACAAUAAACCUUGAAACAAAUACUAUAACAAGAGAAAAAGAAGGACCUAUAUAAUCAUAAAGAGAAGAGUCCAACAAGAAAUUAUAACAACUGUAAAUACUGAUGCACCCAACAUGGAGCACUCAAAUACAUGAAGCAGUUAGUAACAAAUAUACCAGAAGUAAUUGACAGUAAUACAAUAAUAGUAGGGGACUUUAACACCCACACCCCACUGACAUCAAUGGAUAGAUCAUCCAAACAGAAAAUACACAAGGAAAUAGAGGUUUUGAAUGACACAUUGGACCAGAUGGAUCUAACAGAUGUAUUCAGAAAAUUCCAUCCUAAAACAGUAGCACACAUUCUUUUCAAGUGCACAUGGAAUAUUGUCCAGAAUAAAUCACAUGAUAGGCCACAAAAACAAGUUUCAACAAAUUAAAAGAGACUAAAGUGUCUUUUCCAAUCACAACGCUAUGAAGUUAGAAAUCCUUCACAAGAAAAAAAUUGGGAAAGAACACAAAUACAUGGAGGUUAAAUAACAUGCUACUAAACGAUGAAUAGGUCAAUCAAGAAAUCAAAGAGGAAAUCAGAAAAUACAUGGAGACAAAUGAAAAUGAAAAUGCAGUGGUUCAAAAUCCUUGGGAUGCAGCAAACACUAUGUUAAGAGGGAAGUUUAGAGCAAUCAUGCCUACAUGAAGAAGCAGGAAAAGUCUUGAGUAAAUAACCUAACUUUACACCUAAAAGAGCUAUUCAAAGAAAAAUAGACAAACCUCAAACAAGUAGAAUGAAGGAAAUAAUAAAGAUUAAAGCAGAAAUAAAUGAAACAGAAACAAAAAAAUCAAUAGAACAAAUAAAUGAAACCAGGGGCUCAUUCAUUCAACAAAUUUGAUAAAUCUUUAGCCACGAUCAUAAAAAUAGAGAGAAGGUGAGAGGGAGAGAUCUCAAAUAAACAAAAUCAGAAAUAAUAGAGGAGAAAUAACAAUCUAUACCACAGAAAUACAAAGGAUCCUAAGAGAAUAUUAUGAAAAACUAUAUGCCAACAAAUUAGACAACCUAGAAGAAAAGGAUAAACUUCUAGAAACACGAAACCUCCCCAAACUGAAAUCAGGAAGAAAUAAAAAAUUUGAACAGACCAAUUACCAGCAAUAAAAUUGCAUCAGUAAUCAAAAAAUUUCCCCUCCUCCCCGCAAAAAAGUCCAGGACCAGAUGGCUUCACAGGUGAAUUCAAACAGACAUUUUAAAAGAGUUAAUAAUCUUCUCAAACUAUUCUGAACCUAUUUCAAAAAAUAUAAGAUGAAGGAAAGCUUCCAGUUUCACUCUAUGAGGCUAGCAUUACCCAGAUACCCAAAACAGAAAAAGAUACUACAAAAAAGGGGGGAGAGGGGGGACGGCAGGCAGUUAUCUCUGAUGAACAUAGAUGCAAACAUCCUUAACAAAAUAUUAGCAAAUAAAAUCCAAUAAUACGUGAAAAAAACUUUCACCAUUAUCAGGUGGGAUAUAUUCCUGGGGUGCAAGAUUGGCUCAAUAUUCACAAAUCAAUGUGACACAUCACAUUAACAAGAGAAAGGAUGAAAACCAUAUGAUCAUUUCAGUAGAUGCAGAAAAAGAAUUUGACAAAGUAUAACAUCCAUUCAUGAUUUUUAAAAACCCAACAAAGUAGAUUUAGAGGGUACAUGCCUCAGGAUAAUAAAGGCCAUCUAUGAAAAAUCCACUGCUAACAUCACACUCCCUGGGGGGAAACUUUCCUCUCUCACCACUUUUAUUCAGCAUAGUGUUGGAAGUUCUAAGCCAUAGCAUUCAGACAGGAGAAAGAAAUAAAAUCCAGCUAAAUUGGUAAUGGGGUAGUAAAACUUUUACUAUGUGCAGAUGACAUGAUGCUAUAUAUAUAGCAAACCCUAAGGAUUCCACCAAAAAAUACUCCAACCAAAAAAAAAAAAAAAAUUAGAACUGAUAAAUGAAUUCAGUAAACUCACAAAAUAUAAAAUCAAUAUACAGAAAUCUGUUGUAUUUCUAUACAUUAAUAAUGAAGUAGCAGGAAGAGAAAUGAAGAAAAUAAUCCCACUUACAAUUACACCCAAAAUAAAAAAAUACAAGACCUAUACUCUGAAAACUAUAAAACACAGAUGAAAGAAACUGAAGAUAACAUCAAGAAAUGGAAAGACAUUCCAUGUUCAUGGCUUCCAAAACAUUUGUUAAAAUGUCUAUACUACCUAAGCAAUCUACACGCUUACUGUAAUCCCUAUCAAAAUAACAACAGCAUUUUUCACAGAAUCUUGAGAUAUGUAUGGAACCACAAAAGACCCUGAAUAGCCACAGCAGUCUUGAAAAGGAAGAACAAAACUGGAAGUAUCACAAUCCCAGACUUCAAGAUAUACCAAAAAACUGUAGUAAUCAAGACAGUAUGGUACUGGCACAACAAUGGACACAUAGACUGGAACAGAACAGAGAGCCCAGAAAUAAAUCCACAAUUAUAUGGUCAAUUAAUCCACAACAAAGUAAGCAAGAAUAAGAGAUGGGUAAAAGUCUCUUCAACAAAUGGUGCUGAGAAAACUGGAGAACUAUGAAACUGGACCACUUUCUUACUCCAUACACAAAAAUAAAUUCAAAAUGGAUUAAAGACCUAAAUGUGAGACCUGAAAAUAUAAGAUUCCUAGAAUAAAAUAUAGGCAUUAAUUUCUUUGACAUCAGCUGUAGUAACAUUUUUCUCAAUACGUCCCCUGUGGCAUGGGAAACAAAAGCAAAAUCAAACAGCUGGGACUCCCUCAAAAUAAAAACUUCUGCACAGCAAAGGAAACAAUCAACAAAACUAAAAGACAAACUACUGAAUAAGAGAAGGUAUUUGCAAAUGACAUAUCCAAUAAAGGGUUAGUGUCUAAAAUAUAUAAAGGACUUAUACAACUCAACUUGAAGAAAACAAAUAACCCUAUUUAAAAAUGGGCAGAAGACAUGAACAGAUAUUUUUCCAAAGAAGACACACAGAUGGCCAACAGACACAUGAAAAGAUGUUCAACAUCCCUCAUCAUCAGGGAAAUGCAAAUGGAAACCACAAUGAGAUGUCACCGCACACCUGUCAGAGUGGCUAGAAUCAACAAAACAAGAAACCUCAAGUGUUGGCAGAGAUGUGGAGAAAAAGAAGCUCUCAUGAGACUGUCAGUGGGGAUGCAAACUGGCAUAGCCAUGGUGAAAACAGUAUGGAGUUACCUCAGAAAGUUAAAAAUAGAAUUACCAUAUGAUCCAUUAAUUCCACUACUGGGUAAUUACCCAAAGAAUACAAAACCACUAAUUUGAAAAGAUACGAUGAGCACUUAGUAAUGCAUAGAAUUGUUGAGUCACUAUAUUUUACACCUGAAACUAAUAUAAUACUAUACAUUAAGUCUACCAGAAUUUUUAAAGAGUAGAAAAAAAGAAAUUAACUGUCCAUAGUCAGUUUUUCAUUUUUAUUCAUUUUAUGUUUUUAAAUUAAACACAUACUAUAUGAUGUUUACUGUCAGAUUUUAAAUGCUUCUACUGCAGCGCAUAUUUUAAUUUUUUUAAGUCCUUGUGACAACUCUCUGGGAUAAGCCCUAUGCUUAUGACCUUGUUAAUAUGAGAAAUCUAAGCACUGUGGUAUUAGGUACCAUGUCCAAGGGUACGUGACCACUGAAUCACUGAGUGGGGAUUCAAACACAGCCUGAGUGGACCUUAGGCUUUAACUAGUACGUUAUGCACGGUUGUCACACACUCCAAUUGUAAUUCUCUCUUAGUCAUCAAUCAAUCAGUCAAACAAUAGUAACAAAUAUCACUAUGCCGCUGUUUACUGGCAGCUUUGUUAAGUAUCUUUUCUUUGAAAACCAAAUCGAGCAACAAGAAACUUGCCCUCCCACUCUCUGUCACAAUCACAUUUGAUUUUUCCUUUGGGAUUAUCUUGUUUAUCAUUUUUAAAUUUAUUUCUUGUUUUUUUUUUUCAUGUUAGUUUUUAAAAUUUUUUAAUUGUGCUAAAGUGCACAUAAUAUAAAAUUUAGCAUGUUAACCAUUUUACAUGUACAGUUGAGUAGGUAUUUACACUAAUAUUGCAGUGUGACCAAUCUCCAGAACUCUUUUCAUCUUGCAAAAUUACGUCUCUCCAUAUCUCUCUUCCUCCAGUCCCUGGCGACUACCCUUCUACUUUGUGUCUCUAUGUUCACCCCUAAUGAACACUCGGGUUGCUUCCUGUUAUUUGUUUGUUUUGUUUUGUUUUGUGUUUUUAGGAACUUUUACUUUCCCUGUGCCUCAACAGAUGCCUAAGAAUCUCAUGGAACACAAAAUUAUACCACUAAUUAUAGGUCUCCAGUUUGGAGUCUCACAGCAUCCUGGAUAAUCUGGGGUGAAUGAGAACUAAGAUUUCUAUAAAUUACAGACAUUUAGUAAUGGUUUUAAAAGUCACAUGUAUGCUUUAAUUAAGAUUAGAAAAAGUGAGAAGAAAAUCAUGCUGUCUUUAAGAUAUUUCAUCAAUAGUAGUUUGAUAACAUAUUCUGUAUGGUUAAACAAUAACCUAGAAACCCACAUAAACCAUGAACAGACUUCCUAGUAAUAGAACUAACCAGGGGUAGGAGGAGAGUAAGUUCUGGUUCUGUAAAUUCCCAAGCUCAAUGGGUUGGAAUGAAUGUCUAAGCCUCUAUUUCCUACUUGUAACAAAUUAUGAGGGAGUGUGGGGCAAGUUGAUGGCAAAGUACAAGCUAGCACACCCUCCAUCCCCAAGUAGGACAUGUAUGAUAUUCCUCAGACAUUCCCAGCUACCCCAAAACAGGAAAGGACAAAAAAAAAAAAAAAAAAAAAAGAUUAAACUGAUGAGUCUAUAACAGUUUACCAAGAAAAGUUAAUCCCAUCAUAGCCUAAAAGCCAGGAACUCCCUACUGCAUUAAUAUUAAUGCUUACAAGAGGGAAAACAACAUUAGCUUGACAAAGUUAGGCCUCCAGUAAGUCUUUAGCAUGUGAAAGUCUCUUUGGAAGUUCCUUCUAGAUUUUAUCUCCCCCACUCCAUAAAAGGGUCACCCCCUACACUUGCUGUGCAGCUCUUCCUGCCCACAGGUACUGUCCAUGCUUUCAUAAAUCACCAUUUUGCACCAAAGAUGUCUUCAAGAAUUCUUUUUUUGGCCAUCGGCUCCGAACCCUAAGAACCUCCCACCAUCACCCCAAAACUUCAUCAAAAAAGGAGGUUGGACCAAGCUCUCCUACUUUGUGAACUGCCAUUGGUUAAUCCCUCGCUCAAAAUACACAUAGGGUGAGGUUCCCAAAGUUUCUCAGAGAGUGCUGAAACUCACCUAACAUCUCUUCUCUAGAAGAACAAAUUUUGCUUUGGCAAAACAAAGUUCUAAAUCAAAGAGAAUUUCUGCAAAACAAAUUCACACUUUGAAAAUAAAUACUUGCAGACAGGGAAUACACUGCAGACAGGCAAUGAUCAGAAAAUGAAAAGCCAUUUUGAUAUGCCUCCAUGUAAAAGGGCAUAUCCUCCAGCUUGAAAGAGAAGUGUGUUUUUCAGCAUUGCCCCACAGCUCACCACCUCUGCUUUGAGUCAGCACUCUUUUCCCAGGUGCAUCCCUUCUUCAAAGGCCACAUAUAUAUAUGUUUUGGACAUGAGCACUGGGUCAUAAUUUUCUCUGUAAUUCUAGACUUUAUUUUCAAGACGGGAAUUUUCAAGGGAGCAACUUGUGCACAGUGUGCUUUUGGAAAGUCCUAAAGGUUAAGUAGAGUAUCAAGGAAUUUGAAAGCCGAGGGACCUAUGAGUUUUCCUGACCUAACCAUUCAUCAUGAGCCUAUCAUUUGACCCCUGGGGUCCAACUAAUAUAUUGCAUAUAAAAAGUAACUUCUUUUUCUAGUUCUGGCCUCCAAUGACCUAGCAAAAAUCGGUACAGAUUUCCAACAAACAUACUCUCUUCUCUCAUGCCAUCCAGUGUUCAAUUUUCAUUUGCAUUACUCCUUGUAAUACAGAAAUAAAAGCUUUAAAAUUGGAAACUUGUAAAAUGCUUCUUCUGAAAUCCCUACUUAUUUAGCCCAGUUUAUAUCAAGUUCAUAAGAACAGGCCGGGCCCACAUGUGUCUGUCAGCAAUGUAUCCAGUUCACUUGGUUAACCCAGUUAGAUCAAAUCUGAAAGAAAGUCAAGUUGCCUUGGAAGGGAACAAAUAAAUAUAGCUGGCCCCACAUUUUGACGGGUUUUGGGUACUUGUAAAUCUCUAGCAAAUACUCUGUGAGUAUUGAGUAAAUGAAUUUAUGUCUUCAAAUCCAUUCAUAUCAUUAAAUGUACCUUUAAAGGCAAAUAUCUUAAUAGAAUGAAAAUUUCAUUUCUCAAAGUAUAGAUUUAAUCUCCCCAAAUCUCACCUUUCUCUAUGCUGCUUCUUUUCUUUGGAAUGACUCUCAGUUUUUCUCCCUGGAUACAUGUGGUUCCCCCUGUCUCUCAAAAUCACACUUAUAAAAGGAAAACAAUUUUAAGUGCAUUUCUAGGCACUUACCUGCUUAUCACCAUGCCAUUUUCCUGGAUAAUUUUCAUAAAUUUCAUCACUGAAGAAUCCUCUUUGCCAUUGACUUCUCCUUGGCCAGCUGGUGCACAGGUUAUGAUGAAACUGUCACCCUGAUUUCAUUGGAAGUCAUUCUCCUCUCAACAACUCGCAUCAUGAUCCAGCAUCUGCAGUGUGGUAGAGUCAAACACUGUAAAACACAUGCUCAUGACCAACAGAGCAAAAUUCAUGUCUUUCUGCCCAAACCAGUAUCUCCUCAGAGCGGUUCCUAUAAGCAAAGACUUAUUUCACCACCAGUGCAUGCAUGGACUCUAUGGAUACCACCUAAUUAUGAAAUGUCUGCAUGGAGAAGUUUCCAAGUUCACUAAAUAUUUAUCUUCUUGGUAUAAUAGUGAAGAAACAUCCCUUAACCUGACUGUAUAUUCCAGGGUGCUAAGGAUCAAAGACUUUUCUGAAACCAACCUAGCUUCCUGUGGUGUCUUUACAAACGGAGUCCUAAUAAAGGAGCCCUGGGAUAAUUCAGUACUUAAUUGAACCAAACAGAGUUUCAGUCAAUUAGAGAUCUACAUCAGGAAGAAAGACCAUGUAAGCCUUUUCAAAAAAACAAAAACAAAAACAAAAAAAGGCAUUCAAAUAGCUGCAAUGCUUUAAGAAGCCAUAUAUUUUUAAGUCAUUGUAAAAGAAAACUAGAUAAUUUCUGAAACUGGCCUGGAGGCUAACGCACCGUAUUGAUUUUAAGGCCCCCCUAUAUGUGAGAGAGUAUUGCUAUCACAUAAUUCUUUGGUAGUGAUUUGGCCCUUGGAUCAUCAGAAAUCACUUUAAAUGUACUUUGAGUGACAGCUCCUGGUGUUAGUUAUAAUUAUCAACAAACAAUUCCUGAAUGCUGACUAAGUAUGUUGCAAUACUAUGCUGGGAUUGCCAUUAGCUGUUUCAGACUACAGCAUUUCCAAAACAAAACCUCAUUGACAGAAUAAGCCCCCAGGAAAGAACAAACAUUUUAGCUGCUGUUUUCAUGGCAGAUUGAUACUACAUUCCUGCAUAGAUCACUGAGUGCCCUCAUUUUGCUAUAUGACAAUGACAAGCAUGUUAUGUUUUCCUUCUGAGUAAAAAUUUAAUUCCAAUUAUAAAGAAACAAAAAUGAGGGAAAGUUCGUUGACAAAUAUUGUUUAAAAUAAUUUUUUAUACAAUAUGCUUUCUAUAAAAUUAUGAUCAUUGCCAAGAACACAGAUUUAACCUUAAUACAUUCAACUGUAGGAUGAGCUAAAUUAAGGACCAGUGCAGUUUUAAUUGUUUAGGAAAAAAAAAAAACCCAGACAAACAAUAAGAAACCAAGAGAGAGGUUAGAUGAUGGAUACAAUCCAAAGAAUUUUACUAACAUCAAAAGGCGGCCUCUAGAUUUUAACAAUCCAAUUCCUAUCAGUUUUAGGUAUAACUUAUUCAACCUCUUUCUGUGUUGUUGGGGAAAAGGUGACAGAGAUAAACCUUUGGUGAUUCAAAACUUUUUAUACAAUAAACUUGAAAGUUUAUACAAAUCGCCAAAGUCACUCCAAACUUUUCCAGAUCUGACAUUCCCUAGUAAUGAACUGAACACUCUUUGUAGCAAUUAACGGGUAAAGCAUCAGUUAAGCUCUAAAGUUGUUACUAUAACCUGAGAAGACUUUAAACUCCCCCUACCAUUCACAGCUAAAAGGCCAACAAAUAAAUUACUACCUUAAUAUAUUCACUGAAAUGGCCUGCAAGAGUUAAUGGUGUUACCCAAGAGCCUAUUUUACCUUCAGAACACCUUUGUACAUAAACCAAAUCUGAUUCAAUGUGAAAAGAGUCAAUCUUACUGCAUUCCCUUAACCUAAGUGGGAACAUAUUUUUAUCCCUAUGUUGUAGACAAGGAAUUGAGACACAGGAAGGAAGUUUACUCUCAGAUGGAUAGCAACUUCAAUAGAACAGCCAAUGCUAAUAUCAGGCUUGUUAUUAAUUUGAUUCUAAAAGUCAUAUUAAAUAGCCCUGAGAGUAAAUGUACAAUGACGUUCCUGGACAAAAUUUCUGGUUGCUAGCGCACUUUGCAGUUCAUGGUUUUCACACUAGCGGUUUAUUGGUAUAACGGCAGCUAUCUUCACUCUUCUCUGCUAUGUAAUUUUUAAAACAAUCCUUGAAGGUAGGUUAUUAAAUGUGGCUACUUUUCAGUGAAUUUAAGUAUUGCUGAAAAACAAAAGUUCGAAAAUAAGUGAAGUUACAGGAAAAUUAACCAGAGUCAAAAUUUAAAUAAGAGGGCAUCAACUUUAGUGCUAGAAUAUUUUCUUUAAUAUCAAAGUCAAGAACAUUAAGGCAUAAAGUUGGGUACUUGCCUUGCCUGACAAAAUACAAGGGUUCAGUUAGUAUAUGUCUUGCUGUGGUGACUUAAAAAAGACAAGGAAUUUGGCAUAUUAGUUUGGCAUUGUCUCACAACUACCAUGCCAUCUGCACUUCAAAAUUUAAGUAAGAGUAACAGUAAUGCUGGAAAAGUUUGUGAAUAUAGUUUUGUCUUUAGAAGAGCAAACUAUGCUACUUCAUUAACGUUUUCCUCCAAAGGAGAUUUGCAAAAUACAGUUGGCAGGAUUUAAAAAAAAAAAUGCUAGGGCUGCAUUUUAAAAGUGUGGCUUUUUAAAACCACUGUAUAAAUACAGAUAAACUUUAUAUUCAUUCCUUUACUGUUUACUAACCACACAGAAAGGAAGAGUUUAAAAGCCCAGCAAGCUCUCAUAUUGCAGUUUCAGAUACCACAUUUCUCCAAGGGUAAACAGAAAUAAUUAAGGUAAUUAUUGUUUGGAUCCUCUGACAGCAAAGCACAUGUUUAUUUUAAGCAAUAGAUGUUCAAAAGAUCUUUGAAAAUGUAUGAUUCUACCUGAACCGCUUCAUAAGAAAAGAGAAAAAAAUAUAUAUCCACAGCCAGAUUUUUACAAGGCUGCCGCAGCUUUCUUGUCCAUGUAAAUAGCUUCACUGCUGAAGAGCUGAGUCAUUGUUUUUUCCAAGAGUCCUUUCUCACUAAGCAAAAGAAAACAAUAUAUUUUCCCCCAGAAGCCAAUGCGAUGUGGCCAUUAAUUAGAGUGACUAUGGAUGGCAUUUGAGACUCUACCAGUCCAAACAUUCUACAUUGUGGGUAGGGUAUCAAAUUAACCACAGUGAGAAGGCUUGGAGAGGUUCUAGCAUGCCAGCAACAUCCCCAGCCCAUUUCGGAUUGCAGAAUGAGGAAUUUGAAGGACUAUUAAACACUCUGUAAAAUGCUCACAACAGAUCAGCAUAAAGCCAUACAGUGCAGGUGUUCCUGUAAUUGGAAAAAUGCUCUGUGUUCAAUGGCCCCUCAAAUUCACCCUCGUCUCAGGCGCUCCUCUGGGUUUUACAAAGCAGUUUUAGGAAACUAACUGCUGACUGGACUCUUCCGAAGAUUUAGGCUUACACACGUUGUGCAAAGUCAAGAGAUGAGUUUUAUUUUGCAUCCACCUUUACUUAAGGAGCUGGCGUCCCUGUCACGAAGACAGGCAUGUAUGGCUCCUUUUACAAGGCUGCUUGAAAUCAAGGAUCCAGAUGCAUGAAAAAUUCACACGUGAGGAAUUAAAGAAUUCAUUAUAUGACAAAUAUAUUAUAAAUAUUAGAAACUCUUUUAUUUAUAAAACUAUUUUACCACUUUGAGGUAACUAUAUUCACAGAGGAAUCCAUACAUUAAUCCAAAGAAUAUGAUCGCAUGCUUUAUCUGAAUACUUCUUGCAUUGGCUAGAAUGUAUCGGGCUGCUGAUUUCUGUUAUUUUUACAGAAGGAUGUGCUGAUAGAAUUGUAAAGAACCAGCAAAGGAAGACUAUCUGUUGGGCAUUUAGUAGGCAGAGUGCUUUCCAUUCUUUAUGUUUUCUCCUUAGUAGUGUAAUCCCUUUGUUUGGUGGGCCAUGUUCACUGACUGCUUUAAGAAGCAUUUGCUUCUUUAGAAAAAUCGGUAAUUUGGCUGUGUUGUUAAAAGCAGUAUUGCUUGUAUUUGAAAGAAAACAUUUUCCAUCCUAAUUAUGUCUUCUCCUUUUUCAGUUGCAGGUCAUGAAUCUCUGAAACAAGAUGCUGUUUUCUUGCACAGCUAUGUGGACUCGCUUAUCUGCUUGAAAACUAAAUACCUUGUGCAGAAAGGCUUCUCGCACAGAGCAAUGGCCUUCUAUGAGAAAAUACGUCAGCACUAAACAUCUCAUUAUUAAGAAACUUCUCACCAAAUUAAUUAUUUUCUUUCAUGUAGGGCUAAUGAUACACAUGGUAGCAUGUGAAGCCCAAAUAUUCCAAAGAUCGGAACGUGGAAUAGAGAAGAUCCAUUCUAAACCUUCUUAUGUUUUCUUUCCAGAUAUUACAGAGCAAAGUCUGAGGCGAGGCUUGUGAUUCGUCAUGCUGAUGACCAAAUAUAAGCAGUGGAAGAAUUAGAUGUUAGUUUAGGUAACAAGAAAAUUAAAAUUAAAAACCUCAUUAGUUACAUAACUGAAAUGGAUCUUGUAAAGAUGGGAAAUGAGACCACCCGCACUCAACAGAACCAAAGCCAGACAAGGACUUUCAUGAGUAUUUUGAGUUCUCUUUAUAAAUUAUAUAAAAUACGACAAAUAUGAUAAAGAAUGAUGAUAAUAUAUUUGAUUUUGAUAAUAAGACUCUUCACUGGCAAGUUGUCUUUAUGGAGUAUUUGAAAUGAUCAGGAACUCUCCUUAUAGUUCAUAUGUUAUUAGUUAAUUUGGUGAAAAUGAAAGUUAAGUGGCUAAAAUAUUUCUCAAAACUGACAACAGCCAUUGGAGGAUUAAUCUACUUUGGUCAUUCUUAUCAUUAUACCAUUAGUUCAUGUACUGGUCAUUUGUUAUUAUAUAUUAUAUGUUAUAUAUAAUAUAUGCUUUCCCAUAUAAAAAUUACCUUUUAUGGAUACGGUAUCUUUCAAACAAAAUUGUGACUAUAUGGGAAUGUUUUUAUAAUACACGUGGAUGGUAUGCAUGCUUUCUAAUGACACACUGGUACAGACGUAUUGAAAGUAUAUUUAGGAACAUGUUGCACAACAAUGAAGGAUUCCAGAUUCAUUUCAUUGGUAUAGAUUUUUUUUUGUUUCAUUUUAUACUACUGUGUGUCAUUAGUUAACUGCCAUUUUCUUAUAAUUAACAAAUAUAACUUCUAAUUUUUAACUGGUAAAUUAUUGUUUUGCCUGGGUUUUCAGGUCGAGGGAUAAUUUAACAAAACAGAAUAUGGUAAAUGAGCAAACAGGUUAUAGAUAAAGAUUUCAUUAUGCAUAAGAUACUGUAGGGCACCAAUGAUAAUACAACUAUGAAUGUUAAAAUACAUCAAACUUUAAAGGAUAAGAAAAUUUCAAAUCAUUGCCCAAGUAAAGAUCUCACAAUUCUUAUAAAUCAUAAUUACAACAGCAUUUUAAAAAGGUGAAAUUAAAGGAUUAAAUGUGUGUGUGCAUGUAAUACUUUCAACAACAGACAUGCUUCAUUGGGCACAAUAGACGAAUUACUAUAUAGCUGUUUCCUUUAUCCCCCGCUCUGGUAAAUUAUUCAAAAGUUAAAUACCUGAGGGAAGAUUGCUAAUUAAAGGAAUUCGAUAAUGAAUCAUUUUGUUAAUAUAAAACUUAAUCUUCUUGUUAAACGUGGAUUUUCACUUAUAAAGUUAAUUUUAAAGUUGAUUGGAAUUGGGCACAAACAUUUGUUUAUGUGUAAUGGUGAUGGUGUGUGUUAAAGGAAGACCUCAGUAAAAUGAUACACAGAGUACCCGUCACUUAAAACCUAUGAUCAUCACAAGUGCUCUAGGUUCUGUACCACCCAAGAGAGAUUUCUCAUUCAUUAAUAGCAUACACAGGGUCAGUGCUUAACAUAUUCGCACUCUUUCAAUAAGUUUUACCAACCUUAAUCGCUAAGUCCUAUAAGCAAGACUUGAAGAAAUAAAUAGAAAGUAUAAGCCUUGCCUUCUUAAACACAUAAUUUAAAAACUUGGAAAUAACUGAAUAUUGAAAAUACAAUAGGGGAUUGGAAUAGGGCCUUUAAAAAUAAAACUAUUUGUUUAUUUUUAAUUUCAAUUGUUUCUUUAAUUUCAAUGUUUAUUCUAUUUUAUAUAUAUUAUAUAUAUACAUACACAUACAAAGGAAUAUAUGAUAAGUACAAAAUGUGUUAUGAAUGAGUUAUGUGCAUGUGUGUGAUGAGAAAUGGUGAUAAAACUGUACGUAUUAUUUUUGAACUUUCCCACUUUCCCUAAUAUUUGUGUUUUCCAUUAUUACUAUGAGAUACUGUUGAAAUACUAUUGUACCAUAUAUAUCGUAAUCUUCAGAAUAACCUUCAGAAUAUAAGAGUUAUAGAUAAAUAUAGCAGAAUAGAUAUAAUUGAGCACUAAAAAAUACUUCAUGCAUCCAAAAUAAAGCAAAAAAGUAAGCACAGAACAAAAAUAGAGGUGAGAUGAAUACAAAACAAAUACCAAGAUGGUAGACUUAAACCAAUACAUAUCAAUCACUGUAUUAACUUGAGAGACUAAGAGAAAAAUUACCAGGUGUACUCACAACUGCAAAGAAAAGAUUCUACCCCCCCCCCCCCCCCCCCCCCCCCCCCCCCGCCAUUCCCGAAACCAGCCAGGACGUGCCCGGUUGUAGUCUGACCUAAAGGUGGGAACCAAUCAAGUUCUGCUGAGCGUUCAAAUUCAAGUGUCAACCAAUAACAGCUCUGUAACCUCAAAAAAAUCCCUAACUUGUUUGUGCCUGUCUAUAAAAGAAGCUGUAAGAUCCUUGCUCAGGGCCUCUUAGCGUCACUGUCACCGGCAACGAGUGCGCGGAGGACUGGGUUCGAACCUGCAAUAAAC
rnacentral:lncRNA from 1 species